rnacentral:lncRNA from 1 species
UUUUUUUUUGUUUGCUUUAUUACAUUUUUCCUUACUGACAAAACAUGCAUUGGGAGGACACGGUUAACGAAAGAUUUAUUUCCCGGCUAAAAUUUAAUAAUAAUUGAUGGAAAUUUGUUGGAUGUGAUGAUUAUAAAAUUCAGCAUAAUCAAUUUCAUCAUCUAAAGAGUUGAGAAGAUGGAAGAAGUAAAAUCAGUGUGUCAUUUGAUAGUCUUAACUUUAAAUUAAAACUUCUUCUAAACUAAACACUUCCCUUCCCCACGUAAUUUAAUUCAAGAUGAUAGGGAGUGAAAGAGAUUAAGGUAUGUAACUUAUGUUUAAAAACUAAUUCCGUUAUUUAUAAAAAAAAACUAUUUCAAAUAAUUGCAUAACAUGGCUUGAUAGACAUAAUUGCUCUUAAUUACUCAAUUUCAGUGGCCAUGCUCUCAACUUGCAGUGCUAUACUAGACCUUACUUUAAUGUAAUAAUCAGAAGUAGCCUGAAAUGUUUCACUGAUGUUUCAGGGUGAAUAUCUUACUAUAGCAAACAUAGGUGAUUGUAGGGCUGUCUUGGCAACUACUUCAGAUGAUGGCAUAUUAACUCCACAUCAGCUUACCACUGACUUCAAGCCAAAUUUACCUCGUAAGAAAUGAUUUAAUUUGUUGAAGAAAUAUUAGUGUAUUAGGGGUGAGCAGAUGAAUGAAAUUGAUUUUGAAGUACAUGUUUAUAGGUUUUUAUUUUAAAAACAAAUUAAUAGUAAAAUUUAGUAUAAAUUUUUUUAUCCAAACCAAAAGCAAUCUAAAAUUACAUGAACUCAAAAUCAAUUCCCUAACACGACACCAAAUAUGUAACAUGAAUUGAAACACUCAAUCAGUCUUUUUUUUGUUGUUGUUGAUUUCAGAGGAGGCAGAACGCAUAACACAAUCCAGAGGGAGGGUAUUUUGUAUGGAAGAUGAACCAGGAGUGUACAGGGUCUGGAUGCCAAAUGGUAAAACACCAGGACUAGCAAUAUCUAGAGCUUUUGGAGACCACUGCAUGAAGGACUUUGGACUAAUCUCCGUGCCUGAUGUCACACACAGAAAAAUUACCACCAGGGAUCAAUUUGUCAUCUUGGCAACAGAUGGGGUAUGCGUCUCUUAUGUUUAAUGCAAUAACUCGUUGUUUAAGGGACAGGUUUUAAUUUAACCGAAGUUAAAAGGAAACGUAUUAAGAAACGGAACAAAAUUGGUUCUAGUACCUAAUAGUCAUCAUGCUUGAUUGGUGUAGAACCAGGAAGUGUUCAAGUAAUUGCUUUUUUCGUUAUCUCCCAGGUAUGGGAUGUUAUAUCCAACCAGGAAGCAGUGAAGAUUGUUUCAGCAACGUCACAUAAAGAAAAAGCUGCUCAAAGGCUUGUGAAAUGUGCCAUACAUGAAUGGAAACGGAAAAAAAGUGGCAUUGCGAUGGAUGAUAUGUCAGCUAUUUGCCUCUUCUUUCACUCUUCCCCCUCUCAUCAACUCCCCCCAGCCAUCAAAAUUGUUGAUUAAGAAUGUUGGGUGGUUAAACAGUUCAUUACAGCUUCCUUGUAAGUUGUAACACAGAAAUACAUAUAGACUUGUAUAUAAACUUAUCAAUUAAAAUGACAUUUGUGGUUAAGUGUAUAAGACUGUAAAAUCUAUCUUCGUUACCAUAGAGGCACAAGCAUUUUGUGUGUAUAGAGAACUUUUUUUGACUAACUGGUCAUGCUGAAAGUGGAGCAUCAGAAAACAUUUGCAGGGGAGCAUCAUCAAUCAAUUUAAACAAAACUAUCCUCAAACUAAACUAAGUCUCAGAGUUCUUCAUCUUAGACUACUGCUUAUAGUCUGUUGCAGUCUUCGUAGGCUAUACCUUUAGUAAUUCUGAGAUGAUGUUUACAAAGAGAAAAUCACAUGCACCACUCAUGUCUGCUACAAUCCUUAGUUGUGAACUUGUGGUUGAAGUGUCCUUUGCUAUUAUGAAUACCACAUCGAAGGGUUUACAAAGCUGAAUAGUAGGAACUCACUUAUAAAUAAACUAGAGAAGUCCUUGUACAAAAACGUGUACUUAAUAAUAUUAAUUGGGUAAAGUUUAUAAAUUACAACAAUAAUUAGGUUGACAUUAUUCAUGUUAUAUUGUAUGAGAAUAUGAAAUUACAACUAAAUUUAAAAUUUAAAAUAUCUAUUUAAAUUAAAAAUAUUCACGUAACAAAUUUUUUUACUCUUUAAAGAUCUAUAAUAUGCAAGUAAAUCCAAAAUAAUAAAGAUCUCUCUCUCUCUCUCUCUCUAUAUAUAUAUACAUAUCUUUUUAACAGGCGAGUAAUAAGAGAAAUGCCCAAAAAAUAAAUAAACUCAACUGCAGGAGCACUGCAGCAGAAUAUAACUUUCUUUUUUCCUUCAUUUUUUCAUUCUUUUCUCUUUGUUUUUUUUCCUUCUUUUUUGCUAAAUAGAGUGUAAAUGAAUAUGAAUUGUACAAAUAUCAUUAUAAUACAGACAACAUUUAUUUGUUGGUUGGUUGCUCCAACCAUUAAGCAAUCAGUGCAAGAGAAUAUCUCUCCAUCUUCUUUCUUCAAUUCAUUGAUUCAUUCCGAUGGUGAAUACAUUGCCCUCUCUCGAUCUCACCCACCACUCCGAUUUCGACGCAUUAGCUUCAUCUCCAUCUGCGGCUACGGUUCCCUCCUCUCCGGUAACUAUUUACUACUACUAUCAUAUUCAUAUCAAUCCCUAGCCUUAACUUAACUGUCCAUGUGAAUCAAUGUCCUUUAAAUAUUUGACACAGAGACAAGUGCCAGAAUCACUUUCCCCCGUCUCUUCAACUCCGUCGGACGCAUCUUUUCACUCACCGUGUUGCCAAUAUCAAAACUCAGGUCUUUUUUUCUUUACUUUUCAAUUUUCAUGUGAUAAUUGGUUGUUGAAUGUCUUCGUUUAAUGGAUUUGUUUGCUCCCAGGAAAUUGCCGGACUUUCUGUUGAACCAUGUGAUGGUGAAAUCGUUGUUGUAGCCGUUUUUGAGAUAAAGAAAACAUUUUUUAAGAGUCACCUUCGUCCUUGGCUUAAGCCUUAAAAGGAGAGGUGAGCAAAAUACGCAUUUAUCUCUGGGAAUCAAUUUGACUUUAUUUUCUUUCAACGGAUUCAGAUUCCAGCAUUUAUUGAUAGGGAGCGCGAAUAUCGUUUUUUAGCUGUGAGUAGUUGUUAUUUAGUAUUGCUUAUGCUUUCGUUCCCGCCCGUGAUAAUGCAAUAUGAUUAAUAUAUCCUAUUUGACACCUGCUUCAAGAGUUCCAAAUAAAUCUACAAUAUAAAUUAACUUGGACUAUAAUUUGAUAUUAUUAUUUUUUGUCUCUAAUAGGUUGUCCCUGAAUCACUAGAUGGGAAGCCCUUUACCAAUCCAGCAGUAUGUUAUUCAAAUGUUACAUUUUUAACGAUUGACAUUUUUUAUUUUAGUAACUUUUACUUUGCUAGAUUUAUUUGUAACGUAUGUAUGGUGUUAAUUGUUAAACGCAGGUUCUCUGUGCUUCUUACACUGAUGAGGAAUUCUUUAAAUUUAGAUGCAACAGCAUCCAAGCUUAUAUUCUGUUAGAAAAUAUAGUAGAUUAUGCAAAAACACUGAACUGCCGUACGCUUAGGGUUUUAAGAGGAAGAAAUGAAAAGAAUCUCUUCUUUUUUUAAUUUUACUUGGUAACUCAUACAACACACAGUACUUUUUUUUUUUUUUUGUGUUAAAAAUACGACAUACUACUUCUUUUGCAACUAAUUUGUAACAUUUCCUAUGUUACUCGUAUUGCUUCCAAUAUAGUUAUCCGAUCAGUUUAUUAUUUAGUGAUAAAAAGAGUGCUAACAAUAUAUUUUUUUAACACCCUAGAUAAAAAAAUAUAUUCUCCGACACCGCCUUAAAGCAACAUAUGUGAUAUUUUGAUCAACGUGCCCCCCUUUCUAUUUAACUGUGUGUUCUCCUUCUAAUUGUCUUAAAAGUUAAAAACUGAUUUUGGUACUUGUUAACUGAAAAUUUUGUUUUAAUGUAAAUGUAUAGUUAAAGGGUUAUAAGGUUGACUUUGUGUGGAGCAAGAAGGGAGGGAAUGAGAGAUUAUAAGUUCGAAUCAUUUUGUUAAUAAAAAUUAACAACUAAUAUUGAUCGAUAAAAAAAAUAUAAUUUCAAUUAAUUUAAACACACAUCUUAAUCAAUUAAAAUUAAACUAACUAGAAAAAGUUAUAAGGGCAUGUCAAUUAUAUCUUCCACAUGAGAAUGUAAAUUUGGAAUUACCAAAGUGAGGCCAACAUAAUUACCUCCUACUAGCAUUGGUUCCUUGUUAAGGUUUCUUAAUAUUUUAUUAUUACUUUUAGCCUAAGAAGCCAACAUUUUUUAUUUUCUUUGGUGAGAUAAGAAGCCAACAUUGUAUUGAGUUUGCAUCACAUCAAACUAGAUUAAUUGAGAUGUUACAGGGUGAAACUUACUCUGCCUCGUGUUAGCGUGAGUUUUUAUCUUUUCCCCUCCUAUAUUUUACAUACCAUAUGUCCGUGACCUUUUUAGAACAGAGGGCCGAGAAAAAUAUUUUCAACAAUUCGGGGAGUAUAAGAUCCAUAAGAUUUGGCGGGAUGGUGUUUUACCAUGCCCUGUUUAUCUUGGUCACUGGUAAGUAGCCUGUUCUAUUUAUUAAUAACACUAAAGUCAUUACUUAUGAGGCCAUAUGUUUUAUGUAUUUAUUUAUAGAUUCGAAAUACUUAAAUGGAAGUGUUAUAUUAGCCUCUUGUGUUUUAACGUAUCAGUAAAUAGCUAAACUAUUACUACUAUAGAUCUUUUAAUUUAUAGAUUUCCACACAAAUGUAUAUUUUUUUCUUUCUGGGGCACAGGGUUAGAUCAUUGUCUAGCAUGAUUAUUAUCCUUUAUGUAUCAAACCAUAUGCUUGUCACAAUACUUUAUCAUUGAUAGUGCAAAAUGGCGUUUAACACAAAUGCUGUUAUAUUUAUGAUAUACUAAUUAUUUUCUUCUAAAUGGCGUUUAACACAAAUGCAAUUUGACAUGUAUUUAUAAAAAUGACGGAUGGUAUUGAAUUCUUGCAGUGUCCUGGCUGCAAAAAGCCUCGGUGAUGAAGUCCACAAUAACUUUUUGGAUCAUACUUUCCUUGCUGACCGUAAAACGACCAUACAUCAGUACUUUGAAAAAGUGAGUACAUGCAUCUUGGAAGAAGAGCCACCUGAGUCUUUGAAAACCCGUUAUGGUGGUUGAUGUCAUGAGAUGAGAGAGUCAAUAUAGUUCUCAAUUCGCCAUUUCUGAAUUUGACUGUUCCAAUUAUUUCUUAUUUUAGCACAUCUGGAUCGAAGAGUCACAGCGGCGAACGUUGAAUGGCGGCGACAAGUAGUAGUUGUUACAAAACCAACAAAACAGAUUUCUGUUUUCUAGGAUGAAAAUGUAUUAGUGCAUGUUUGUUUUUCUGUUAAAACCUUGGCUGCACGAAUUCCCAUACAUUUAAACGGUCGUUUGCACAUUACGAGACUCCAAAAGCAGAAAUAAUUCCUUUGUUACUUUUGAAAAAUCGCAAGUUACCUUAAUAGGCCAGCAAAUGUUUACUGUAGAAUAAUAUUUAUAUACUGUGAAUAAAAACUGGCAACAGCGCCCUUUCAACAAAUAUUUAUAGAAAAAUGUUAGCAUUAUUUUUCUUCUACCUCCUAUUAUACCUCUUGUAAUAUAUUAAAUCAUUUGACAUGAAAAGAAACAAAAGACAGAUAAAAAAAAAGAGUCUACUUUAUAGUUAUGGUAAAAGAAAGUGUAAUAAAAACUGUGGAAAAAGUAGAUUUUUAUAUAUAAAAAUUAUACAACAAACAUAUGAAGGUAGAUAAAUAUAAAUUAAAUUAUUAAUUUUUAUAUUCAAUAUUUUCUAUAUAUUAAUGUAAUUACCAUAAUAUAACCGAAUUCAGUAAAAAAAAAACCCAUAAUAUAACCAAAAUACAAUUUGUACAAAAAUAAAUCAUAUAACUUAACAUUUAACACUUCAACAUUUUCCAGACUAACUAAUUAAUCUAAUAAUUAAAAUUCACUAAUACUAACAAAAACUAAAAUACAAUUACAUGAUUUUUAUUUUGAUUUUUUUAAAAGACUCAUUUAUAGCAUCAUAAAUAUUUAAAGAAUCAAAUUAUUGUCGAAUAAAUUUUUAGAAUAGUCCAAUAAUUUGAGUACAUUUUUUGUACUAUAGUCAUUAAAAUAUAUACUUUUAGUUUUAAUUAUAAAAUUAUAAUAACCCUUCUAUUUAAUAUUAUUAUUAAAAAAACUGAAUAAUCAAUGACAUAAUAACAGAAUUCAAAUCUGCACAUGUAGGAAUUCUAGUUCUAUGAAAACGUUCCGUUGCAAGUCCCACAUCGGACAUUUCAUAAGCUAAAGAGUGGGGAGCUGUCUAUAAAACAAACCAAAGAAGACAAAGACUACUGAAAAAUUGUUCCGGUGCCCCAUUGGAGGAAAAUUAGAUCUCAGGCAAAUUAUUAGAAAUAUCAACUGCUGAAAGUUGAAGUGAGAUUUUACGGAUUCGGAUGUUACGGGCUAGCAACACUUUCUCUUCUGCAAGAUAUUAUAAAUUAAUUCAAAGGGCGUCCCACACUCCCACUGAUAGAGGGACACUGUGGAAGGUGCUAUGAAGAACAAACUCAGCAGCAGAGAACCUUACUCAAUGAAAGGCACUGAAAUUAAAUAUGUAUGAUUGUCUACUAGUAUUUAUUUGGAAUUAUAUUGGUGUUAAAGUUUUUAACAAACAAAAUAACGUUUUCAAGUCCCACAUCAGAGGAUUUGUAAACUGAAGAGUGGGGAGCUCACUAUAAAUAAACCACAGCAGGUAUGUUGAAACCAACCUGUCCUGUCAGGGGGUGAAAGGCGAUUCGUUAAUGAUCGUUUAGAGACGGCGGGUCGCGCCAACACCUAUUAUUUCGAACACACAGUACACGACGGGUGAGUCCUGCCCUACUUCGGUUAGGAUUUGCCCGUCAAUUUUUGGAAGCCUCUCCUCUUAGGAGCGGCUCUAUACCAGUUCUAAAAAAUUUGAAAACUAUUUUUUCUUUUUGGGUGUCGGUGUAUUUUUUGUGAAGAUCCCGUGCCAAUUUGAGCAUAGUUUAAUUCAUAUGGCGAAGAUAAGUUAGACAAUAAUAAUGGACCAUAUUGUUAAUCAUUUUGUGGUGAUUUAUUUGAUGUUUAUUUUUGUAUUUUUGUACUGGUAUUCUAUUUCACAUUAUAUCUUUCUCUAGUUGUCUGAUUAAUAGUUGGAUCAUCUUCCUAUAUGUGGGCAUGUAAUGAUCAUUUAUCAUCGUUCUUGAAAGUCUGAGCUUGCUAUAAAGCUGUCUAGGUGUUUCAUAUAAUUUGACAUGUUCCUCAAUGGAGCUUGAACUAAAGUCAUCUGACGAAGGAGUGGAGACAAUGUGCAUGAUUUUACCUGGGGGAUAAAAACGAUAGCUAUCUACUUUGUCAGAUGCCGUGAUUGAAUUGCUGGUGCCUUGUGCAGCAUCAAUAAGCUGAUUCUCUUCCUCAGUUAUCUCUUUUGCUGCAGCUGCCUCUUCUACCUGCGCCCGAAUGUUCAGGAUAUUGUUCUGUUUUUCAAGUUCCUUCUCCAGCUCAUACCACAAUUCACCUUCAGUGAUGUCAUUUACAACAGAAGAGGUAAUGUGCUCGUUAGCAUCAAUCAGUUGCUCCUCUUCAUCUAUGGCAUCAAGUCCAGAUCUUCCACUUGAGUAGUUUGGUUCAUCCUUAUUCAGCACAGGCACACUUUCAGUCAAAAGAGAUUUACUUAUAUUUUUGGGUUCCAGAGAAGAUUCGGCCAAGUUAUUUAAUUUAGAUUUUGGCAAUGGUCCAAUAUUCUGACGGUGUGAAGCCAUAGUUUUGACAACAGCUUCGACAACACUUUGUGCAUGCUUCAUCACAACCUGCGAGUAAUAACAGGAUUUCUUUAAGAUAAUAUAUGCAUUAUAUAUGAUAGCGAAAGGCCCAUGCAUAAAGGAGAUAUACAUCAUAAAAACAGCUUGAGCACUAGGAUUGCUGCAAGUGCCGUGCAUCAGCUAUCCCUUAUAUAUAGUUGGACAACUGCUCUGUAACUGCAAACUAUGGCCAGUAAUCUCCCUUACAUCCCUGAAGCGCACUUCGUACUUUGAAAGUCAAAUAGAGACAAAGAAGCUUGAAAAUUACCUGGGUGCCACUGGUCACAGGCCGUAGAAUAGCACCUACACCAGCUACCUUGUCUUUUGCACUAGAUAUGAAUUGUAAGUGAGAUCCAAGUGCAGUUGCUGAGUUGUGGACGGCUUUCAGAACCUUUGUAUGCUCGGCCUGAUCCCAUAAAUCACUCAUCCAAGAUGACGCAGCAACCUAACAAAUAACAUUAGAAACAAACUAAUUAACAAUGAUGAUAUUUGCCAAAAUCAUCUGGGAGAACUAACUAAUCACCUCAGAUCGGAGAUCAUCAACAGAGGAAGCUGAUAAUGUGGGUACCAAGUCGUAACCAUUUAUAAUGGUAGUGAUGAAGUGCUUCCCUGAUUCACCUAACUCCCAUGUCAUACAAGCAGCUGCAAAAAUGACAACAAUGAAAUGUCUUAGCAGUAAUGAUUACAACAUAGGCAAGACUCCAAUAUUAGAGAAAUUUCAACGCUGUAAAGAAAAUUCCAUAAGCAAAAUGUAUAAUGAUAAAAUAGGUAUUCUUACUUCACUCAUAUCUUCUUCAAGUUUAUUCGAAGAAAGAAAAUAGAUAUUCAACUUUAAUUUUGCAACUAUUAUGUCAAAUUAAUUAGGCAUUCCUACUCGUAACAAAAUAAUUAAUUCUCACAUAAAUUACAAUACAUAUCACACUAAAUAGAUAUAUAAAUCUCAUGCUUGUAUGUCAAAACAAUAGUGAUUGACUGAGAAAUUUGAAAUCUCAUAUCACAGCCCAAACUGAUUAAUGAUUAUAACAAUAGCUCCAGCUCAUUUCAAACACCAACAUAUUUGACCAUUAUCAAAUGAAAGGUAAUUCAAUGUAAUUUGAACAACUAGUAAUGUUCAUUACUCAAUUCAAUAAUAACUUCAGUUGUGAAGUUAGUAUAAUUACAUGCCUGGGGCAAAUGUGACACAGGUGCUUGAAGAUAACUCUUUUUGUUCUCUAAGAAUAUAUGUUAAUAGUGCUGCAGUACCACCACCAAGUGAGUGUCCAACAAUCUGUGGUAAGAUGAAAAGGCAAGAAAAUGAUGAGUUGUGUGAUUAAAUAAAAUACAUAUAAUAUCGUUUUAAAAGAAAAUAUUCAAAAACGAAUAUGGCAUUCUAGUGAAAGGAUAGAAAAAGUAAGAAAUAAAGAAAUGAAAGGAAAAACUGAAGAAUUCAGAAUACAGGGCUGUAGCAUCAUAAUAUUCUUCUAAGAAUAAUAUAGAAUUAUACCUUGACUUCUGAGUCUGGACAUUUAUUAAGGGCUUUAAGUAGUGUAGGAGUGCAGAGUUUUGCAAUCCAACGAGCUGCAGCAACCAUACCACAGUGUGCAUAUCCUAAAACCAAGUUGCUUAUUCCUCCAUCAUUUAAAAUGGAAUGGUGAAAGGGAACCACAGUACCAGUUGCAGCUGUCAGUGUGUCUUUUAUGCUAUGGGUUCCCCGGAUCAAUAGAAGGAAACAUUUUGACUGCGUAUCAUGUAUAAUUGUGAAAGCGGGCUUCAGAAGCUGCAAGAAUUCAUGACAUCAAAUCGGUUCAGUUACAAGUGAGCAAUAAAAUGAUGGCACGAUGCGAACAGUUUAGCAAUUGAAACAUGAAAGUAAGAUAGAAAUCAGAAACAAAGGGAAAGAAAUAAAAAGAAGCAAUGCAUAUUUAAUUUCAGAAGUAAAACAUACGAAAACACUCAAACAUGUUUAAGGCACAUAACACCAAAGUCCAAGCCUCAUGAAUCAAGAUUCCAGCAACAUCAAAAAAUUAAUAGGGGGCAUUUAGUUAGUUUAUGAAGAGCAUACAUACUGAUUAUUCAUCUUUAUCUAAUCAAGUUUCAGGGGAAAGUAGGAACAUCAGACAUGGAUUAUUUAUCAUCUACAUUUCUGAAAACUAAUUUCUAGAACAGUCACCUAUUGAUAAAAACAUGUCCCAGGAAAUUUAUUUCCGAAGGAGGGAAAAACAUAUCAAAAGAGUGGGAGAGUGCGUUUAGUGACUAGGGGAAGUGCAUUUUGCAAUUGCCAUCACGGGUCCAACAAGCCAUAUUCAGCUAACAAUAAACAUACAAACGAGAGACAAAAUUAGAAAAGAAGGCAGCUAACCCCAGCUUCGGGGUUGUGAAGAAGAACAUGGUCUAGAGAGAAUCCGGCAGAAUCUAAAAACUCGGGAAACGGUUUCUUGGAGAAAAGCAUGCACAAAGUCAACAACCUCAAAAGCUCUUGUAACUCAUCUACAACUCCAGGGCCUUUCAGCUCCACACAACUGCUUCCACCAUACACACUCGCAACUGCCAAAUCACCCUGCAAGCGUCCUGUCCAUUUUCAAAGCCUAAUAUUGAAAUCGGAAUCGACGAUAAGAAAUUAGGAAAUUGACAUCAACCUGUUUGCGCAUCAAGUAAUUGAUGCCGAAGGCCAAGUCGGCGAUUGGCCAUUUCCCAAUAGUCUCCGAGUAAGUGAACCUCAACGUCUCCGAUAACGUCGCAAUCGAUUCUAACAUAUUCGCCGGCGCCUGAGCUGGCUUCAACCUCCACGUCGUCCGCGACCUCGACCACUCCUUUUCGGCCUUCCUCCUCCGCCGGAAUACGAGGUACAGCAUCACCGCCGCUCCGGCUGCCGUCGCCACUGCCCCGGCAGUCAUGGAAUCGGCGGAGAAGAACAAUGUGGUUUGGGAAAAUGGAAGAAAAAAGGAAACAUAAAAAUUGGAGUUUGGAAUCUGGUUGGAGUGUCUGAAACAGAAACGUGAGAGGAACCGCUGAGAAAGUGCCUUUCCCGGAACAAGAAGCUUGCUUAGUUGCAUUAUGACCACAAUGCCCUUGCUUCUUUCGAUCAUCGGAAAUCAUCCUGGUACUGGCGAGGUGGUGCUAACUAGUAACAAUAGCUUAUGGAGUCAUAUUGUUAAAUUACUCCUCAAUUCAUCUUUAAAUUAUUCGAAAUUUUUAAUUAAAAAUUAAUUAAAGUCUUAAAUUAAACAAAAAAAAUCUCUGAAGUUUAUAGCAGUUUUAAAAAUCUUUAAAACUUAAUUAAAAGUUACAUUACUCAUUUGUUCUCCUUAUAGUUUUAUGUUUCUUAUUUACUUUUCUAGUUAUUAUAAUUUAAAAGUGAUAUUUAUUUUUUUAGUCUCUAUAAUUUACAUUUUAAUUCUCUUCUAAUCUCCUGUAAUUUUGAAAGUGGUCUAUUCAUGAUUCUUACUUUUUUUAGUCCCUAUCAUUUUCAAAUUAUAGGGACUAAAACAUAAUUAAAAUGUUAACUAUAGAUUCUAAAAAGAAUAUUUUUAAACUACAUGAUAAAAGAGAAUUAAAAUAUAAAUGAUAAAUACUAAAAAUAUCACUUUUAAACUAUAGGGACUAAAAAGAUAAAAAUCAUGAAACUGAGUAAUUUAACCAUUAAAAAAUUUAGCUAAUCAAUUAAAGAUCUCAUGAUAUUUUACUUUUAAGGUUGAAUGUGUAUUCUCUUAUAUCUUAAUAUAUAGUUGAUAUUUAUAUGAAUUUUUAUUUGAUAUUUCUUUUGAAUUCGAUUAUAUGCAAUAAAUAAAAACCUUAGAGUUUUUGUCUCAAAUAUAAGCAAAUCUCACUUUUCUAUUUCUUAUUUAAUGAGACUCUCUUUAAAAUAUCUUUCAUUUAAUAAUACUAAUAAUAUUUUUAUGUUUGAUAUUAAGUUCCAACAAAAGAUGGUUUAGGAAAUGUUUUUUUUUAUUAAAAAUAACACAAUUUAACGAAGUUAACUAAUUUUUUUAAUAAAUAUGAAGUAUGUCUUUUUUUACUUAUAAUCGAGACCAAAGCAAGUACAUGUCAUUGUUGGAGACAACUACAAAUUCUAGAAAAAUAAUACACAACAAAAUCAUAUUUUUGAUUGUGUAAUUCUUUUUUUAAAUAAAAAAAAGUAUACAAGUGUGAUUCAUUUCUAUAUAAUAAAACAGAAUCAUAAUUUUAUUGUGUAUGUUUUUUUUUUUACCUCCCUUGCACAAUAAUCACGGUUUUAUAUACAAUAAAAUUAUGUUUUUGCUGUACAAUCAUCUAAUCCUUAGGAAAAAGUAUUUAUUGUAAAAAAAUGUCUAAUUUAAAAAUUAUAUAAUUUAUUUCACGAAUUUUUCCAUCAUUUUUUUCUUUUAAUAAAAAAUCCCAAUAUAUAUAUAAUUUUUAAUUUGCACCGUGACAAUUAAAUUUAUCACAUGUUCUUUAUUCUUUCAAUUUUUCAUUGUUACUCUUUUAUAAAAGAUUAAUUUAUCAAAAUUAUAUAUAUAUAAAUAAUGAAUUUAAAAAUAUAUAUUCAACAUUUUUACACAAUCCAUUUUUUAACACCCGUCCUAAGCACUUGCUACGCUGCUAAUCUUGGUACGGGUGAAAAAAUGCAAGGAAUAGCAUAGCAGCUUCAUUUUGAAUUCAGAAUAUUGUAUUGAGUCAUGUUUACUCAAAAAAUGGAGUACUUUUUUUUUUCUGUCAUGCCAAAGCCAAAAUAAAUACAUUCAAAGUGUGAAGGCCUAGAUGCUAAACUUUUCCUUUCUUUCUGUUGUAUUCUAUUUGUCCACUUUUUCUCUUUUCCAAAGGUGUUGAAAGCAAUAUGCUAUUGUUGUCAUUGGACUAAAUGCGAUAUUAUUAAUAGGCCAUGCCUCCUCCAGCAAAAUGAGACUCACCUCACAAGCUUGGGUGGUAAAAAUUUCCUUGGGAGCCUCAUGAACCGUGACACGUACAUAGCAAAUAACUAAUAGGCUUGCAUAGACUUGGAUUUCCACCCUGUCCCACAAUUCUGCAAUUUUUUUGUUUUGGAUUUUAAAUUCCAGUACAUUGUUGCCCUGCAUAAUGUGUCAUGAAAGCUUCAAAUUAACAUGUAAUAAUAAAUUUUGUACUACCACCUUACCCUACUCGAAUUUGUCCCCAUGCAAAACAAAGGCAAUAUUUGAUGCAGUUGCUAAACUCAAAAACAAAAGUUCAGUUACCAAUAUGUCUGCCCAGGAAUAGUACAAUGAAUUAUUUGAUUCAAACCUCCUUAUACGACUUCAUAUGAUGGGAACAUUUAAUAUUCUGCUUCACUACUAACGACUGGUGAUGGGGAAACCCUCUAGUCCCUCCUAUAUGGGAAAUUGGAAAAGGUAUUAAGCUGUUUGAAGAUUGAGGGCCAAAACCGAUUUGAAACAGGACAAAUUAACUUUCCCCUUAAAGGCACUGCACCAAUGUUUGUUUCAUUUUCACCUAAGGCUCAACUAAUACAUGAUCACGAAGAAGACAUUUUUGUUGCUCUUACAAAGCAAAAAUACAACAACUUAUACACUCUCUUUAACACACCCUUCAUUAAAUUAGGUAAAAAUUCAGUGUCUUUAAGUUUAACUAUUCAUUUAACAGAUGUGUUCAUAUUUAGUAUUUUGACUGUGCCUUGAACAUGAUUAACUUUAAAAAAAAAUACUUGUGGGGAGGAAAAAAAUUAAUGUGAACUUCAUUUCUCAUUUAAUAAAUUUCUUUUCUUAAUUGUUAAAACAAGCAUUGCAACAUGUUAAUAUGUGCUUUCACGAUUAAUUUAAUAGACCAACAAGAAAUAAUCAAAGCUGAAGUUCAAAUGUAUAUAUUUAGAAUAGUUUAUUUCAAAUAAAUAAUUAUGUUGAAACAUUUGAAAAGAUAAUAAAAAAAUAAGAAACCAUUCCCUUAUAAUUUAUAAAUAACUUCAACCAAACCAUUAUAGAUAGUGAACACCAAACUUCAGCUGUAAUUUCCAAGGAGAAAAGGCUAUCAGAUGCAUUGUACACGGCACCCAUAAUGAAUUAGAAGAAGAUUAUGAAAAAAUGAUACGUUCUUUUGAACAAAGGGACACAGGUAGGGACCUAUUGGAUGAUUUGAUUAAUUUUUUAACCUACUCAGAGCACCUUUUUAUGCUAGCUUCAACCGGGCAUUAUAUAAUUUAUAUGAGUGGGUCACACUACUUGAACGCUCCCAUCCCAUCUUCACGGGUAAUUUCUCGUUGAAUUUAAAGUCAUAGUACCAAAAUAAUAUUGCAAUCUACCUACCCCAACAACAGUAGCGUAACCUUCAAACCUCUCCCAAAGCCAUGCCCCUUUGUGUAUUUUCUACCAGUAAAUGUCACGUUUCAUCUGCACAAGUGUAAUGUGCCUCCAAGUAUGAAAAACGGAGGGUGCUUCCUUUCAUAAAUGUUUUUUGAUUUUCUAAUUUUCCACAAUACCCUCACAAACUUCACAAAAUAAAACAAUACUUGAAAUAGAUUCCGAAAGCGAAAUCAUUAAAAGUGGCCAGAGGAACUGGUAAAUGGCUUAAUCAUAUUACACAUUUGAUUCAAUAUCUUAGAUUUAAUCAUUCUUACAAAAUUCUUUGGAGAACAACCUAUGAACUUCUACAACCGUCGCAGUUGUUUAUGAGGUUCUAUUUUCAGCCCAACAAUAUGUUACUACUUACUGGUUGUUGAAUGUUGCAACAAAUAAUAAGAGGCGGUAGAGAAUGGCAACCACAACUUAGUUAAUCUAACUAAUAUUGAAGUAAUGUAAUAUCAUCACAUUAAAGAAGGUUAUUAUUACUUUUUAGUUGAAUUUAAAUUUAACUUUAAACAUGAAAAGAAAAGAAAAAUGUAAGGGCGAAAUGUCCCUCCCUAAUAAUUCUCAAUGAGUGUCAUUUGGAGAGAUUAACGUUAACCCCUCCAUAUACCAACUAAUCCAGUGUGAAAAAUCUCCUCCGCAAAGGUUGCUAUUUUUUCUUAACCGCUACAUCUCUGUUUAUUAUUACUGCCCCUCCCAAAACCAACAAAAGGAAACCUCCUUCACUAUUGCUCUAUUCGCGUUUUGUCCUUCACUUCCAAUAUUGGCGCAAUCUUAUCACUCUCAAAUGGGGAGAAUGGGAAAAGAAUCAGACUCCAAGACCAAGUUGGUAUUAGAGAUUUGCUCCAUUUCCACGCGUUCUGUGCUCUGUGUUCAUCAUACACUUCUCUCAAAACCUUUCAUUGACUGGUAUUGCAUUCUUGGAGUAAGUUCUUUAACCUUUCUUGUUGAAGAAAACCAUACAUGGGUUACUUUUUAUGAUGCAAAGUUUCUCCAUAUUGGGUUCUCAUAGGUGGAAGAAAAUGCAGGGGUGAAUGCCAUUCGCAAGAGGUACCAUAAACUGGGUAGGUUUAACUGGUUUUAUGGCUAUGUGAAAUCUGCAUUCUCUCUCUUUUUCCUGAAUAAUGAGCAACUUGUCUUUCUUUUUUCUUCUGUAGCCUUACAAGUUCACCCAGAUAAGAAUAAGCAUCCCAAUGCUGAAAUUGCUUUCAAGCUCGUUUCUGAGGUAUUUUUAUUAUGUUUUUUUUUUCUUCUUUUUAUUGGUUACCCACUUGGCCUGCAAGUAAUAUAGCAAUGAAUCAAUGAACAUUUAUUCUCUGGUGAUUCUAAAUUUUGAAGGUGUGUUAUCAACCCCCCAUGUAGGCAUAUACCAUAAAUUCUUCCACCCAAUUAUGAGUAAAGUGGAAUACAAUCUCAUUCCUUAUCCCUGGUUUUCUUGCAGGCAUAUGCAUGUCUAUCUAAUGCAGCAAAGAGAAAAGCCUUUGACUUGGAGAGAUGUAAGCAUUUUUGCUUCGAGUGCAAAAGAAUACCAUAUACAUCGAGCAAUGUCCCUGGCAAUUCAAGUGGGUCAGUUUUCAAGGCAUGGAAUAUGAUCACCAGAUCAAGAUCUUUUAAACUUUGGAGAAAUAUUAGGGACAUGAGAGAAAGAUUCAUGGACGAGGCUAAGGUGAUAGAGAACUGUUUGCGAACAAAUUCAAUGUCAAGGAAAGAAUCUCCACCCUAUGAUUCGGCUGGCUUUCUACAUAGAAGCAAGUCAAUGCAUAGAUUCGAGAAAGAAACCCCAGUUUUCAACCCAUCGGAUUACUUGUACCAAGGCUACCCUCAUCUAAGGAGCAAUAUUUACAAGAAUUCUUCAACAUUUUGGUACUUGCAGAGAAAUAGUAUGCUUCACAACGAAAAGGGAGGAGCGUUGCAUGCCUCCCCAGUUUUUGAUGUCAAAUCAAGGAAUUUGUUUGCCAGCAAAUUCACUUUUGUCCCAUCAAAAUGUUAGCUAGAAACAUUUUUUUAAUGCAAUGUGAUUGGCAGAUUCUCGCUUCUUUAAAGGAUUAAUUGCAUUUCAUUAUGAAAUUGUCAUAAUAUAUGCGACUCAUUUAGAAUCUCCAAGAGUAAAAAAUGCAUUGAUUAAUUAAAAAUAACGGCCAACAUAGCUUGAAAAAUCAAAUUAAACAGCUGAACACAAUAAGAACGUAAACGCAUACAUGUUACAAUAGACCGGUAACACUCCCUGUGUUGCAAAAUUGCUGCAUUUUGAAAAUAUGCAAAAGUAGAUCAUUACAUCAAGUAAUGUCAUUGUUUCUUCUGGUUGUCAAAAUUACGACAGCAGCUUUCUCAUCAAAUUUAGUUUGUGCCUUUUAACUCAGAAAUGAAGCUUCGCUACUGCCUCCAUGUCAUAACUUGGCUACUGAUAUCGUGGAGCAAACCUGUCCAUUUGAGAUAUAGUUUCCUUCUCCAUACACGACAAUUAUUGGUUUGCUUGUUCUUUAGGCUUUGGGUUUUUGAGAAUUCCAUUGUCAAUUAAAGGCUGUAGCUCUUUUUUAACAAGUUUUUGUACAGUCGGGUCUGGUGAUUCCAAAAAUGCAGAAAUAACCUUACAGCUGCAAUCAUAUUGAGAAGACAAAAAUGAAUACGUAAGAAAAUCAGUCCUUUGCAACCUGCUUGAAUUGGAGAAUAAUCUUAAAGAGUAAAUGAAACCUACCUGUGGCCAUGCACCCAUAACUCACUUUUCCCUUUUAAAGCUUUUUCCCAUAAGGUGGAAGCAAAGUUGGGGCAAUCCAAAAUCAGUUUUCUAAUGGUGCGACUUGAAUGGAAAUUUUCAAGGACAUGCUCCUCUUGUGAAUCUUCUGAUUUAGGCAUUGCUGCAAGAGAAGCUACUGCAUUGUGGAGGGAAUUUAUCUUAUCACCUAAAGCUGGGUGCAUUAUGCCCUCAGAACCCCCUGUUGCAACCUGCUUGUGCAAUUGAAGUUACCAAAACUGCAAUGCUCGGUGACAAAUUUAAAGAACCUGUGAAAUUAUAAUAUCAAUAUCAUCUUUAUUACCUCAUAUAAGACCUCUUUGCCAAAAUUUGACUGAAUCAGUUCUCCCACGCUCUCAAUACAUAUAUCAAGAAGACUCUGCAUAACAAGUUACAAUCAAACAGCAUUUUCAGCACAACUUCAUAAUUCUCAAGUAAUUGACCUGGCCCCAGAUUUGCAUAUCAUCAAAAUCAGUACUACCUAAAGUUCCUUUUUUAAGUAUCUUUUAAGGCUGCUACAUGGGGGUUAAGAAAUACACUUAAUGUUCUAAUUUUUGUUAAAAUUAUUAUUAGAUUUCCUACCACAUAUCUAUCUCAUUGAUUGAUUUCUCUAUUAUUUAUUAUUCUUCAUUUCUCUUCCUCUUUAAUUUCAUGAUAAAUGUGUAACAUAAUUAAAAAUUAGCUGAAGGGUAUAAUUGACAAAAUAAAAGUUAAUAUUGUCUUAAAAUUAAAAAAUUCCUGAAAAACAGACACUUACAAAUGAUCAGAGGUAAUAUGAUUAUGUGAACACUAUAAGAAAUUGUUGGAACUAAUGCAUUCAUGUAUCACAUGACAAUACAUUUAGUACUCAAGGGAAUUAGCGUGUAGGGAGUUGCACACUUGCACUCAAUAUUAGCCAAGGAAAUAGUCUCCAAUAAAUCUAUGAAAAGUCUAUUGUUUGGAUGAUAUGCAGAACCAAUACAUUACAUUCUCUCUUGAAUAAGGAAGCUUUUCAUUGUCUAAAUUCUCUCUAACAGAUUGUUUUCUCUCUCUAAAUCUCCCCCUCAAAAUUCAGCAGAAAAUGUGUAAAGAAAUUUUCUUUUUUCAGAAUGAAAUCAGGAAUAAAAGAUUAAGGAAAGGAGGCAGACAAAAAUCAGUAUAAAACACUAGUGAAACAUGAAAAAACAUAAAUUAUUAGAAGAAAAGCUAAAGCAACCCACAUCUGCAAGCCCACUCUUGAUCAACAGCUCCUGCCUUCUGACAAAUGGGUCUUUUUUCCCACUCUCAGCUAAGUCAGAAUCAUCCACAGAAGUUUUAUCUUUAUUAACUUCGUUCAAUGCCAACUCUAUGUCAUCCUUGGAUUCCUUGUCACCAAGUGAAACCUUCGAAGUUUCUGUCAGAGAGCUUGCUUCUGACUGAUCCUGAUAGCAAUCAAGUGAAGAGUGUGACUAAUAUAGCUGCUUCAAAGUACCAAAAAACAGAAAAGGUAGAUUCAAAAGUAACCUUGAGAGACAGAGAAGGUAUAGAUAAAUUCAGAGAAGCAAGAUCAUCAGGACUGAAAUAACGUGAACUAUUAGGAUGUAGUAAUUGGAGUAAGGGACGCCUUCCAUUCUGUAAAAUUCAGAAGUAAACAACAGAACUUAGAAACUUACAGCCAGAAAAUGUAAUAAACACAUCAUAAGAAUAUAAAACAAACGAUCUUUCUAUAUUGGCUGGGUUCAAAUGGUUGAAAAAAAUUUGCAAAAAAUACUAACUGCUCAAAUUCAUAUAAGGAUUUCUAAGAAAAUAUUUAUUUAAUUGAAGAAAACUAUAUUGAUUUCUCAUUUACAAUGCUUGUAAACAUCAUAUAUUCAUAUGUAAAGUAUGGAAGGAGGAACCUUAUCUAGAACAAGCUCCUUUAAAAUUGACUGAAGCUCACGAAUGAUAACCUGCAACAUGAAUGCUUUAAUGUUUAAUAUGAAACAAAAAUUUGGUUAUGUAGAAAUAAGGAUUAUUUAUGGGAAAAUCAGAAUAAAAACAAAACCAAACAAACCUUUGUUAUCAGUUUGGUGUCGUCAACAACUGAAAGGAUGCAAACCAGCACCUGAAAAUUUAAUCACAAUCUGAGUGUUCAUACUAAAAUCUGAAAGGUAACUUAUAGAAACUAGAAGUUAGGGGCAAUGACAUGAUGCUUUUUCACUGAUAAGGGAGUUAUUGCUUCUUUUAAAGUUGGAAAUAUGUCAUUCUAAAACAAGUAGAAAAUUAAGAGUCACAGGUAGCAACUACAUACGAGAUGAAACUAUUGAGUCAAUACACUUGCCAAUGACCCAAGGAACAGUAUGGGCAUAUAAAUGAGAUACUAGAAGGCCAAGAAUCAAGGAGGAUGGUGAACUCAAACAAGCAGAGAGGGGUAAUUUAACAAACAAGGUACAGCCAUAUGACAAGUUAGUUGUGGAAAUGUCGGUACUUGGUACUGGACAUCUGGCAGGAGAAGAAUAGCAGAGGCAUUUCUGGAAUAUUUCUUGAGCAGCGUACAAACUGUUUCCAGAGUAGGGUGGGGAGAGAGGGGAGGUAUGCAAUUAUUUAGAAUGUGGUUUUGCUAAUUGGGUGGUGUUUGUCCUUUCUGCAUAAUCCCACAGGAAUGUUUCCUUUCAUUUACUUUUCUGUGUGUUCACCUGUUCGGCUGGUGGAUUUUGGUAGUUAUUAAUUUUUCAAGGAGCUAGCCUCCAUUGUUUGAGAGAAUUCUGGUUCUAAAUUUUAGAACCCAAAACAAUAUGUUAACCAAGCACGUAAGCCUUUCUUACCCCCUAGAUGUUUUGUAAUAACAAAUCCCCGUCAAAUGACCUGGGUCCAAAUUUGAUUCACAGCUAUUUUCAAAUUUAUUGUGUCAAUUUCGACCUUGGUUCACCAGGCCAAAUUUAUUGUGUCCAUUUUGAUCUUUUUUAUUUGUGGCCAGGGAGAGGAGGCAUCAACAUGAAUAAUAAACUUUGAUAAGUGUAAGGCAUAACUAAACCUUACAUAUGAUGGGCAACCAAAAACAUAUCCCCACAGAGUCAAAUUACUUACCAUGCACCCAUAUUGAUGAUAAGCUGUUUUGUCUAUGUGCCCCUUCAAUCCUUUGAUAAUCUUCUUCCUUUCCUAAGAAUGGAAUGUGAAGAAGAAAAAAUCAUAUGUUGCAUUCAGUCAUCAUGAGUACUCUAAACAUUUCUAUUGGUAAGAAAGAAAUUGAUAGACACACCUUGGCAUUCCCAUAUUUUACACAAAGAAUUCCAAUUUUAGCUCCAUCCCUCGUACCAAUCAUUCUAACAAUGAGUGGACUUGAUAACUGUUGGAUUAUAUCUGUGACAGAUGACUUUUAAAAAAACUUAAUUUAGAUAACAGAACAUUGUGAAAUUUGUUGCUGUAAUAAAAGGCAUGAAGAAAUAUUGGGGAAAUGGGAGAGAAGUACCUUAUCAGCAAUGCUAAAAUAUUCAAGUAAGACUCUGUGUAAAAUAGAGUGGUCAACUAUCCCUUUCUCUAAAAUUGGCUGAAUCACUGAUGCCAUAUGUCGCAGAACUGAACCUUUCUGUAGACCCAACUUGGACAUCACAUCUAAUAAUCUGACAUGCAAUAAAAAGCUAAGGAAAAAACUCCAGCAAGAAAAAAAAAUAAAUCACCAUAUUGAAUGUCUUACACAUCCACUUAAGAUCAGUAAAAAUAAGAAAUUAAGUAACAUUAAUUCAUGGAGGGAAAGGGGCUACUAUUAUAAGCAGAAAUUGUCCUUGACACUGCUCUAUACAUUACCAGAUUCAUAGAAUAAAAUUAUCAAUACAAAUUACUAUCAGGUGAUUACUCAUCUACAAGUAUCUAAAUGGAAGUUGACUUCAAAGAACUAAUGUACUAUGUUUCCUAAGUAAUGUAUUUCAAAUUUAACUUAUUUCAAAAUCUCCAGUGUACUCACAUAUAAUGUAGUGGUAUAUCAAGCAAAUAGUCAAAAACUAAUUAACUUUAUAUUGCAUAAAUUUUGCUUCCCAAUUUCUAUAACCCCUGGGCCCUCCAAAAAAAUCCCCAAAAGGAAUUCAAACAGGUCUCAAAGAAAUUUUAAAAAAAAGUUAGAACAGAAGUUUCAUCUUUUCUUCCUAUGUAACUUUUGCAGAGAGUGGAUGUGUCAUUUUGCACUCUCCCUCCAUGAGAAUUGAGAACAGUUACAUAUUUCAGAUUCCAGUAAUUAUUUUUUAAAUUAUUUUAAAUAUGUAACAGCUUAUAAUGAUGUAGAAUUGUAGAUUACCAACAUCAUCCAAGAUGCUAAAAAGUAAUUCCUAACAACUGAGUCUUUACCUGCUCUCUUUCAAUGAGACUAGAUCCUUAAACAACCGAAGUUCCGUAGAGUAUAAUUCCGAAAGCAGUUCUUGCUUCUGUGCAGCAUUUGCUAACUCAUAAGCAUGCUCAACAACUGCAUAACAUGUAGAUACACAAAACUUAUUGUAGGGAAGUUGACUUUGGCUAAAAGCUGAACACUCAAAUUCAAAUUGUUAACAUUGAACAAUUUCAUAUAUCAGAGCAUGAAAAUCCACAGAUUUAAUGAGAAGAAAACUACUAUUGCCCCCUCUACACAAUCCAGAUCCAAAAUAAACUUAAUGUCAAUAAGCAGCUAGAUACUUCAAAAGAAAAAGUGGCAAGCUUUCCUCUAGUGAGCCAUUAAAAACUUUGAACCAUAUAUGAAGCAAACCAUGAACAACCACAAGCAACAUACUACCCAAACCUAAGUUACAUACCAACUGAUCCAACCAUAUGGCGAAGAAGAGGAGCAACAUGACCAUGGAGAGUGGAGAUAAAGCCUGCUAGUUGUUUCUUGGAAGCUGAAAAUGGAGAAUGACCAAUUAGAAAAAAAGGUGACACUGACAAAUAACAACGUAUAUUUCAAUUUUCAAGUAGACCAUUACCGUUGUCGAGCAUCUUCUUCACUAAGUGAACAGCAUAUGCACUAUAUGCUAGAGUUAGAAAAUGUGGCUGAAGCUCUUCAAAUACUGCAUCUCUUUCAGCUUGUGAACAAUGCUUGACACAUGUCUAUCAGUUAAAACAAAAAGAAAGCGAAAGAUGUAAAAUGCAAGUUCCUCUAAAAGCAUGUGAAACUGAAAUGGAACAAAAAAAAACGGGAUACCAACAAACAUACCUGAAGAAUCCGAGAUGAGAUGUGAGAGCCCGCAAUCUCUGGAAUCUUCCCCUUCAUCUUUUGCAAAGCUUCAGUCACUAGCCUUGAAUUAUAUAAAAGUUCCAAGUAAGACAUAGUAUAAAGAAUUAAACGAAAAAGAAAAAGGAUUAGCAUGCCAUAAACAAAGAAAUAUCAGCCCUUAAUGUCUUGUUGUAGGAACAUACUUAGCUCUGUCCUCUUUAGCAAUCUCAUGACGUCUCAUCUUUUCCCAUAGACGUGCAAGCUCCUAUUCAGAAUUAAAUUAAAAUUAAAUACCACCUGGUGAAUUCCCAGCCAUCAAGGUUACAGCACUCAAUUCAACUGAUGGAAGAACAAACAAUAAAAAAAAAUAAUAAUAUGUCUCACUUGCUCAAGAGUGAAAUGUCGCUUUCUCUUCUUUUUUCUAGCAUCUGCUAGUUCCUGAUACAAAACAAUCAUAAUCUCAUCUAAUCAAUAAAAACAAAUAAUCUCCAAAUGCCUCAACAAUUAAUUAAUUGGCAUAAAACAAAAAAGAAAUUGCGAAAAUCCUGGAACGAUCCAAAGCGAAAUCGUAGAUAUUCUAAUUAUUAAGGAAGAGAAACCUUGGAAUGAAGACGACGUUCUCGGCCGGUAAGAGGAGCCGUCUUCUUGUUCUUGUUGUCUUUAGCAACGGAGUCUGGUUUGUGCUUCUUUGAGGCAACGAGCUUCGAAGCCUUGGGAGCUUCGUGAGUUUCAGUAUUGAGUCGCUUUCUCUUUUUGGUGUCUCCGGCGUCAUGCUUCUUCGCCGCCAUUGCUUAAGCUCUGAGAUUGAGUUGCUUGCAGCUAUUGCCUGUCACUGGAAAGGGAACCCUCUCUGUCUAACUCCGAGAAAAACGAUUACUAGGGUUUAUACUUUAUACUAAGGCACUUUCUACCGUGUACCCAUGGGUUAGAUAAAUGAAUGGUUCACACAAUUUUUUACAAGUUUUUCAAAUGGUUCACGAAUGCUACACUAUUUUAGAACCGUUAGAUGUAAUUUUAAAAAGGCAAAGUUGCAUUUUUGUCCUUCUAUUUAUUUCUAGUUUCGGAUUUGAUUCUCCAGUAAUUUAUUUCACGAAUUUGGUCAUCCUAUUUUAUAAAAUCGUGCAAUGUUGUCCUUCAGGCCACACAAUUAAAUGUUAAUCGUUAACAAGUGAUUAUGUUGACGGUCAUGUAUAGGUUCUUCUUUCAUGGAGUUGACAUCCAAUUAUAACAUGAUAUUUGACAAUCAUCAUCCAAUAAAAACGUGUCAUGUGGCCGUCAACAUUACUUAUUAACGGUGAACGUCCCAUUGUGACAUGAGAACCAACAUUGCACGAGGAUCACAUUUACAAUUUUGCCUUUUAAAAAAGACAACGGUUGAGAUUUGUCAAAUUUUAUUUUUUUAUUAUUUUGUAUGGUUUAAUUUAUUUAAUUAAAAAAUAAUUACAACAACAAAAAGUCUGAAACACCCUUCAUCCUCAACAAUCGAAUUGUCGUCCCCCUCUGCCUUGGUGGCACCACCGUGGUUGGACUUCCCCAAUUGGGCCUUCUUUCUAUCGACCUCCUUUUCCCUUUUCGCCACAUUCAACUCCUCUGUAGCCGUUGUUGUCCUCGCCUCCGAAAAGGUGAAAACCCUCCAUCGUGCUUCCUCCUUCAUGGCCAAACAUGAGCACUGCUACCAUGGAGGCGAGACUCAGCGUCGGAUGAUAACGGCAAACCUCCAACUUUGAUAAUAACAAAAAUCAACAAAAGCACAAACCAGGAACGAAGUUGUCCAGAAAAAUAGGUUUAUGAAUUCACACGAUUUGGUUUAUGUUAAUGCCAAAUUCAUUUUUUUUAAAAUAAUUGAUCUCUUGAAAAAUUUGUUUACACUAAUUGAGUAGGAGUGGUCAAGUAGUAGAGCGGAAUCGAGAUUUGGAACCAGGUAAGGCUUUCACAACUUUUUUGGAAAAUUGUAGCUCCGUUAAAUGUUCCUCGGGCAACUGAAUUUUUCAUAACCCAAAAAUUCUCUUCCCGUUGACAACAACAUGUCGAACCCAAUUGAUAUGCUUUCUUUUGAUAAGUUUGUUGUUACCAGAUAAAUAAAAUGGCGUUUUGUGUUUUGUUCCCAUGCAUCAAAAAUUUGUUCAGAAAAAUUGAAGGUGGGGUUAUGCAUCGAAGAAGGAGGGUCAUGGUUGAACUGGAAGGAAGGAGACAAUGGGAGCUCAGUAGUCAUUUUACAUUUUACAAUACGAGUAUAUUAGUCAUUUUAUAUUUAAAAUUUAUUUCCAAUUAUAAAAUAAAGUAUUGUAGCCGCUUUAUUUAGUGGACCACGGGUGAAGCAUUUGAUGGACUUCCCCAUGGUAGAAAGCGCCUUAUACUAAUUUCAUAUAUUAGAUUAGGGCUUUCUACCAUGGACAAUCAAUUUUGGAUGAAUGUUGAAUGUGGUUUACAGAAAGUCUUGCAUGGAUACAAUUCCAUCACGUCAUAUUUGGACACAGUCAAUGAAAAAUUGACACUUCAUCAAACAUCAAAAAUUAAAAAUUCAAUAUAUCAAAAAGCAUGAAUUAGAACACGUGAACCCUUCCUUUGUCUCAACCUUCACUUGACUUUUGUCUCCUCAAAGAUUGCGGCGACCCGUGAGAUCUAGACGUUGUGCGCCUGGUGCUUCCAGUGAACAAGCACACCGUUUCCACGAGCACCGAGGUCAUUACCAGAUCCACUUGAUAACGCGGCAAAAGGCAGCGACACAUUUCACAUUUCCACUGUCUCACAACCACAACCACAAUAGCAACAAAAAGAAAAUGUAGACAGAAUAGUGGAAGAGUCGUGCACGGUUUCUCGAUGGCGACCAAAUUUUGUUAUGUGGCAAUAUCGACUUGUCCCCUUCCAAUGUUUCUGCGCUGUAGUGUGUCGAGCUGCGGGCGAUUUUCUCAAACGCUCAAAAUCAAAGCAGAAAGGUCGACGCCGAUGUGGUAAGCCUAUAACUGACGCUGAAGACUCUUAUUCUAAAGAUCUGGCGAACAAUUGAUUCGUAUGAUGAGUAGUGCGGAGCUAAAUCUAGAGAUUAUUGAGACUAUAUGUAAUGUUUUGAACAACUAUUAAUAGAGCCUUCUUGAAUAAUUAUAUGAUUCUUUUUCAUUACGUAAUAUUGGAUUUUUCAUAUGCUUUCUGAGUUGAUUCUCAUUAACAGAAUGUCUGUUGGGGUUAAACAAUGAUUUGAAGCAAACAUGAUUAAUGGAUUAAGAAGAUUGUUGAUAGAAAUCCGUUGAUGACCACAAGUUAAACACGGUCAGAUAUAUAGUAAAACAAUUCAACGAUUCAGAUUGGAUAUUUUUUUUAUAUUUUUAAAAGUAGGAAUUAAUAUAAUAUAAUAUAUUAAAAAAAUAUGUUUAGUUUGAUUUGUAUUUUCAUUUCCUGUUUUUAUUUUUUAAAAAUUAUUUUUAUUUUGAAAAGAUUUAAAUUCUAAAAACAUGUUUGAUUUGACUUUUUACUUUCUGUUUUUAUGAAAUAAAAAUACAUGAUAUUUUAAUUUUUUAUCUUUUUGUAUUUUUAAAUUUAUUUAAAAUUAUAUUUAUUGCCACCCCAAAUAAGAUUUUUGUUCUCAACUCGAAAAUAGUACGAAUGAGAAUUUAUUAUUUUUAUUAUUUAUUGUUUUUAUUUUCACUAAAAAUAUUUUCAAAAAUUCAACCAAAAACAUUUUCAGUAAAAAUAAAAACAAAAACAAUCAAAUCAAACCAAAACCCCCUCAAUUUUCCGGCCUUUUCUAUUUUACCCCACACUGAAAAGGGAGGUUUUGUGGGCAUGUGUAAACCGAUUAUGGUCGGUCCAUCCAUCGGUGAAGCAGCGACUGAGGCGCGCCGAACUACAUCGAGCCGGAGAUCAUCCGAUAAUGACCAUGAUCAAUUCAAAAUUCAAAACAACACUGAUGACCACAAACCAAAAAAUCCAAUAAUGACCAUGAUCAAUUCAAAAUUAAAUUUAGACUUUACGGAUCCCACGAUAAUCCAUUGCAAUUAAAAAUUACAAAUAACCAUCAAGAAUCCAUUACAAAUGCAAAUUACAAGCAACCUAAUUGAAAGAAAGGGAAGAAAAAUUGUGAAUCUUCAUCCUCGUCACGGCACACUGACGACGCAAUGAUAGCCCACCCUCUCCACACACUGCGCGCGCCUCCUUCUCUCCCCCGGGCUCUCCUCCUUUACGCGCCCAAACCUUCCCUCAGCUCCGUCAGUGACAACCUAAAGUCUCCAUGGAAGUGAAUGAAGAACUCCGUAAGAUGCCUAAUCUCGAUGAGGGGAAAGGGAAAAGGAUUGGGGUAAACUCUUACCACUGCACCUUUUGGGAGAGUUUUUAAAAAUGGUUCUUUUUGUUUGGAGGCUUAAAUGUUAUUUCACAUUAAAUUUUUCUUAACUGAUUAAACAUAUUUUAAGUACUAUAGUUGAUUUUACUUCUCUAUGUGUGAACCACAUAACACAUUUCUCUUUACUGUAGAAACCGGCCUAGAUUAUAUUAGAAAAAAAAAAAAACAAUCCGAUAUAUCUUUCUUGUUUUUCGUAAUACUAUUUGUUAUUUAUUUGUGUGGUAUAAAAGAAAAGACGUCUUCUUGAAUUGAUAUUAGUACAAUGAUCCGUAUAAUUUUCUGGUAUUGACUUUACAAUUUAAACACUUUAUAUUAUUAUAAUUUUUUUAUGUAUUUUUAUUCUUUUAAAAGUUACAUAUAUACAUAUAAAAGGUACGCAUAAAUAUUAAGAGAUUUAGUUGAGUAGGCGAUUAUAAAUUCUGGCUAUCAUAUUCAAUUUUUAUGAAUAAAAAAAGAAUAUAUGUAUAUAUAAAUUUAUAAUUUUGGUUAUUUUUAUAUCACAGUGGAAGAAAUAAAUUUAAAUACUUUUUUAUUGGUAAAUAUUAGUAUUAUUAUUAAAGCUACACAUGCAAUGGUACAUAAAUAAUUUAGAAUUAAGUUAUGUUUGACUUAGUUUUUUUUUCUACUUAAAAACUACUUUUAAGUUAAAAUAAAUAUAAUACUUGUGCACAACUUCUUUGUAGUAAAUAAAAUAUUAGAAUUUUUUACAAGGGAAAAAAUAUAUUUAAGCAUUUUUUUAAUUUAUAGUUAAGCCAUACAUUGCUACUGUAACAUGUUUCGUUGCUUCUCACUGAUUUGGAAAUGCUUGUCAAGUGGUAUCGGGUAUGGAUCUAAAUAAUUGUAGGUAUAUAUUGUCUUCACGUAUACAAUACAGCCCAAUAUCAUUUGGUGCAUAUUGUGGAGAGGAAGAGCCUUGUGAUUCCACAACAUUAAUUUCUCUCAAUUUUGUGGAGUAUGUAAUCAUCGGCAAAAGGCCGAUUCAGUGAGAAGCAGGGUUCGAUCAAUCAAACAAAAUCGUGAAUACAUUUGGCUUGAAAGCUAUAUAUGAGGGCAGGCCAUGUAGCAAAAGUUGUUUCAUUGGUCUCUCAAGUCUACUCUUUGUAUAGAUUUUGGCCAGAUCUUGUAUUUUUGUUUACAUGUAAGCGGCAGAAUAUUUCUCUCUUAAUAAACUUUGGACUUACAUUCAGUUUGGGAUUAGAUUUCUAUCUGUAUCAGGCAGAUCUAGAGCCUGCCAUUGCCAUAGCCAUAGGUUGAGUAGUUCUAAAUAUUUACUUACAUAUAGUGUAUGAAUGUAUCACUCCGUAUGUGGUCCAAUAACCUUAAGGUAUACCGCAUACAACUUUUUUUUUCUUUUCUAAUGAGAAUAAUGCUUUGUUUUUAUUAUAAGGAGGCCAAAAAAAGCCUUAAUGGGAAUAAUGCUAAUCAAGUUAAUGGCGAGGCUACCUAAGAUAACUCCGUCCAGGGGCUCUUUGUAAAGUGGAAUUUGAUCCACAUAAUACGUUACCACAACAAAGGAAAUCAGUUCAUCAGCUCACUUUUGUGGACCUAACGUUACUCUUUUUUAUUUUAUUUGGUGAAAUAUGUAAUUUUGUCUAUUGUACGUCUAUCUUUAUUCUAUUUUUUUUACAGCAUCUUUAUUCUAAUUUUAAAAUGUAUUAAACGAAACAAAAUUAAUAUGUUAUCUUUCAUCAUGUUCUGAUCCAUUUAAUAAAUGCUACCAAAGCAUCUCUUAUAUGAUCUUUUAGUAGGACCUAAUUAAUAUAUGUACAAUACAACUAGCAUAUUUGAACAACCUGUUUAUAAUUAAUUUAUUGGUUUUCCUUAAGCAUUUUUCUGUUCGUUCACCUCCAAUAUUGGGCCUGGGCGAGGAAGCAAACAUUAGAGUUAGAGAGGAAGAGAAACAUUUUGACUCUUAUAGUUUUUCUCCUCUCUCCAUCUUUUUGAAUUAAACAAAAGUAUUUUUAUAAAAAUCCUUUCACUUCAUUUUUUCUUACACCUAGGCACUUUUAAAACUUAAUUAAUCAUGCAUAUGAUAUUAUUUGCGUGUUACCAUGAUGAUUACCUGGACAUGCAUGGUAAUUCUUUUGUAUAUGCUUUGCCCAAUAAAUAGCAUGCAAGAGAAACUGUGUAGGCUUGAUCAGCAGCGCGAUCUACUAAUGAAAACCGGUCCUUUAAUUAUUUUUUAACAAAAGUAAUAUAUAUAUAUAUAUAUAUAUAUAUAUAUAUAUAUAUAUAUAUAUAUAUAUAUAUAUAGCUAACUAAAGAUGAUUAGAUUUUCAAGCAAACUUCGGGAUCUAUUAGCUAGCACUUGAAAAUUUUAUAUAUCAAUAAUCCAUUUUCCCCUUUUUCUUUUCCUUAAAUACCAGCUGCUUCAAAAUUAGUAUAGUAAGUAUAUAUUAGGUUGGAGUAAAGUUCAAUUCGUCCUUUUCACUGUCUGUUCUCUCUUCUUUCUUCAUCUGAAACUAGCUAGGGCUCUUCAAUUCGAUCCCAUAAUUAUUUGGUCAGCAACCAUUGUACCUAAUAUGAUAUGAUAUGAUACCGAAAAACAUAUACGACUAUAUAUAUAUAUAUAUAUAUAUAUAUAUAUAUACACGUACGAUCAUGUACGAGUUGCUGGCCUUGUUUCAGUAGUAGUUGCCAGCUUUGGCUUGGUGCAUGAUCAUCUUUAUUAUUGCAUUGGGCAGAAUAAGGUUUAACUCUUGGCACAGCAUGAGGUCUCUUUUGGGACAAAUAAUUGAGUCUGUGGUGUUUGUCUUUUGGUUCGGCACGUGCACGUAACAGUGACAGAAAAUGACAUGAUUUAGGGGACCUUGCUGCUGCUUCCAUGCAUCUAUAGAAUUCGAAUGUCUUGCAUUGGCCCCAUAAAUCAUGAUGAGACCUUCUCACCUUCGGCCUUUUCUAUUCCCCACCCUCCCUGUCUUGGCACUUGCUGCAAAAUGUAUGUCCUGCUCUCUUCUACAAAUUGAGACUCGUCAAUGAUAAAUAAAUGUGGUUGACAAGAUUGGUUAGAUGGAUUCAUUUGCAAUGACCACAUAGAUUUGUAAUCAAAUUGUAUAUAUAUGCUCCUUGUCGAACACUAUACUUCUAGAAUAAUUAUGAGUAGGUAUGUAUAUGUACCAAGAAAAAAGGGCAUCUCUUGUUGUAGAAUCUAAAUAUUUAGAAAAGAAAAACUUGGGCAAUGUCAAUGUCAAUUUAGGUAUGCAUUUUGACUUUUGAAAUUUUCUAAAAUCCUUCCAAUUUCUUCUCUUUUCUCCUAAAGAAAAUGAGUAUAAACAGCUAGCUAGCCAAUUAGGCUCCCCCAAACAUUAACCUUGCAAGAAAGAGCCAGCUAGUUGAAUAGUGGACUGUGGACACAGAGCUACCGUCAAACACAAAAAAAAAGUAUCCAAUUGCAAAGUAAUGCUCCGAAUGGAAGAUGUGGUUUUUAGCUAAUAAUUGCUGUAAGUAAUGUUUGGCAAAAUCUUGAAUGCUUAUAUGUCCCUUAAAAACUAUAAGAAUCCUUGGAUUACAUGGCUCCCAUUAACUUUAUCAUUACCACACAAAAAAACAAAAUUACACCAUAUGACAGCAGUUGCCAAUUGAUAGGAUAUUUGGCUCUCAGUGUUCAUACAUGCGUUCAAAAGGGCUCACAUCUGAGACUAUACCUACACGGCUACACGUGUGUGAUGACUUUAGUGCCCAUCCUUACAUUCAAUGAGUAAUUAUAUACUCGGAUUUUUUUAGAGGAUUAUAUACUUAGAUUUACACUUGUUACUAAGAUUUUAAUUAAAUAUAAUAUACUUUUUUUAAUGUAUUUUUUAAUAAAUAAGAAAAUAUAAAUAUUAUUUUCGUACUUAUAUUAGUUACAAGAAAUUAAUAAAAUAAAAACAUUAAUUAAAAGUAUAACAUUUAACUUGGUUAUAAAAUAUCUUAAAUUAUUUCAGAUACAAAUUAUUAAUAGAAUAUAAUAAUAUAUAACUAUACAGUUAUAAAUCCUUAUAUAAUUCAAAUUAAAAUCUUAAUUUUUAAAAGAUUCACCUAAUAAAAUUAAAUAUGUAAAAAAUUUCAAUUAUUACAUUCUACAAUAUUAAUUAUGACAUCAAUUUUUUUGUUUGUUGGUCAAUAUUAUUCAUGAUUGUCAAGUGUGUCGAUCGAUCUUCAUGAUAUUUAUUGAUUGUCACAAUCAUUGUAAUUAUUGUUACUAUUAUCAUUAUCAUUAUUGUUACAACGAUAUAUAAUAGGAUAAUUAUAAAUUUAACACAUCAUUACCAUUUUCAUUAGGCUAGCAUCUUGACCAUUGUUGAUGAUUGAUGUAGGGUUCACUCUCCUUUCUAUACAUUAACAUACAUUUCUUCAUUAUCAUUCCAUUUCUUAUCCCCUCACCCACCAUUUGUCAAAUAAAAUUGCUUAUAAUAAAAUUAAUUUAAAAUCAUUAAAUAUAAUUAAUAGUUAUAUUCAAAUUAAUUUUAAUAUAAAAUAUUUUGUUAAAUCUUGUUACAAUAAAGAAAAAAUAUUAUGAAUAUUUGUCAAAUAUGCACUUCAUUUCUUAAAAAAUGGUUUUUCAACCUUAAUCCAACAUGAAAAAAGUUAAAAAAAAAAUCCCAUUUUGAUAAAUAAAAUUCAUGGUAAAACAACGAAUCAAAUUUUGAAUUUUUACUAAGAAAAAUAUUAUAUUUUAUACCAUAUUUUAAAUAUAGUUAUCUCAAUUUGGAUUAUCAUAUUUUAGGUGCUAACUAAAUAUGAAUUUUAUGAUGAUUAGUUUUCAUUACAAAAUUUGAUUAAUCGGUGUCAUUUUUUAUUUCAACUACGUUUUUGUUUUUUGUUUUAUUCACAAGAGACUCUGUUGAAGACUUACUUAGAGAUAUGUAAGAUCAGUUCUGCAAUUUUAUAUUUAUUAUUAUUAUUAUUUUGACUGAUUAUAAUUAUUAAUAAGUUUUAGUUUCAAUUAUCUAUUUAUUUAUAAUGAUAUGAUCUAAAUUUAGCGUUCUGAAGAUGAAAAAUAUAUUUGUCACAUUAAUAAAAGCGUGUGUACAUAUCAUGGAAGAAAGGACCAUUCAUCCUCUCCUCUUCUGUCAUUUACAUGAUUUAUGCUUAUAAUAUUCACUAACUUGCAUAAAGUUGUCCCUGUCCUUCGCUUCACCUUGCUUCUGGUUCCUCUCCUUCAAUAUUCUCUCUGCCCCUGCAAUUUAUUUAUUUUUAGUUCUUUCUCGGUGCUUUGGCACUAGCUCUGUUUCUUCUAUCCCUUGCACCGUGCUGUCAGAAGUUUUGACCAAAGAACAUGCUAGUACGUAUGUUUGAAUGUUUCUCUUCUUAUUUGUUAUGAAAUUCUUGAGCUUAUUGUCUUAUAUUGUUUUUGGAUUGAUAAACUGGCAAGAAAGAUUGUUUUCAAUUUUAAAUGCUUGAAUUAAUGUAUAUGUGUAUCCCAUUGUGGUACGUGUUUGAUUCCAUUUGGGUUUGGACCCGUUGGUCUUGCUCCUUUCAGAGGCAAUGGCAGUUGCUGUCCAUGGUAGACUUCAAUGGAAAUCUUUAUGAUCUGUAAAACCUGUAAACUUUGCAUUUCAAUCAUCAAAUGUAAUAUACAACAGCUAUUCUGUUUUAAGUCUUUCUGAAUUUUAUUCAAUUCAUUAACACAUAGUAUUGCAUUCAUCGUUAUUGAUGGAGAUGAGUCUUCUGCUUUGGUUAUUGACUUAUUGUCCUAGUUAUGAAAUUCUUCACAUUCAGACUUCCUGUUUAACUUAGGUAGUUGUGCAUUUCUAUCGGAAAUGCUUAUGAGUAAAGGGAAGUGAAUUAUUUGUUCACAGAAGAAGAAGAAGAGUCUUUUAUCUCUAUUUGUCUUGAAUCUAUCCAGGACAUAAUUAUUGUAUUUGUAGAAUGUCUUGUGAGAAUGAAUGUUUUGAUUUCCCUUCCUAAAAUACUUGUUCAGGUGGCAUUGCUCUUGCUGCUGGCGUUGAGCAAUGAAGUUCGAGUUAAUGGUGAUAGCGAUGGUAGACAAUGUGAGGUUAAUCCAGCACUAAAGCCAAGACCACACACUGUCUCCAUCUUGGAGUUUGGUGCGGUUGGGGAUGGUAAAACAUUGAACACUAUUGCAUUCCAGAAUGCCAUUUUCUAUCUCAAGUCAUUUGCUGACAAGGGUGGUGCUCAGUUAUAUGUGCCACCCGGAACAUGGUUGACUCAAAGUUUCAAUCUUACUAGCCAUCUCACACUUUUCUUGGAAAAAGGUGCUGUAAUUCUUGGAUCUCAGGUAUUUCACCUUUUGCCUUUUCUUUUACUGAGGAUAGCACAUGUAGCAUAUUCCAGUCUGGGGUCACUAUUACUGACAAGUGUUUUUUCUUAUUCUUGGCUUUUUACUUUGAUAGGAUCCAUUUCACUGGGAAGUUGUUGAUCCAUUACCUUCUUAUGGCAGAGGAGUUGAAGUUCCCGGGGGAAGAUAUCAGAGUUUAGUUAAUGGAUACAUGUUACAUGAUGUGGUGAUAACAGGUUUUUUUCCCACUCCCAACAUCUUUUCUUUUCCCUCCUACCCUUCCUCAAAUUUCCAUCUUUUUGAUGGGUAUGUUUAUGGCUUGAAAUUUCAUAUCUUAAUGGGUAUUACUAGGUAAUAAUGGAAUCAUUGAUGGCAUGGGAUUGGGUUGGUGGGAAUUGUUUAGUUCCCAUUCCCUGAACUACAGCCGUCCACAUCUGAUUGAAUUAGUGGCAUCUAAUCGCGUGGUAGUUUCAAAUCUUACAUUCUUGAACGCUCCUGCAUAUAGUAUUCACCCAGUUUAUUGCAGGUAUGUUCUGUGCUUCUUUUAAACACUUGAGUAAUAGCAACUUUGAAAACAAAAAAGUGAUAUUGGAUUUGGUUAUGUAUUGUCACACAGCAAUGUACAUAUUCACAAUGUUUCAAUUUCUGCUCCUCAAGAAUCUCCUUAUACCAUUGGCAUAGUACCAGGUGUGUUACAUAUUAUGGAAUUAAUAUUCGGUCAAUUUUGUGAGAAUAACAUUGCCUCCCAAAUUUCAAUAGCCUAUAGUAAAUGUUACCAAUGGUCACUUCGCUAAUUCUUGUGCACUUAAUUUCUUCAGAUUCUUCUGAUCAUGUUUGUAUAGAGGAUUGUGUCAUUGCAACGGGAUAUGAUGCAAUUUCACUCAAAAGUGGCUGGGACGAAUAUGGCAUUGCCUAUGGCAGGCCAACUGAGAAUGUACACAUCAGAAGGGUACAUCUGCAGGCUUAUUCUGGCUCUACUAUUGCAUUUGGCAGUGACAUGUCUGGUGGCAUUUCAAAUAUUCUUGUGGAGAAUGUUCAUCUUUACAACUCAAAGAGUGGCAUUGAGUUCAGAACCAUGAGGGGCAGAGGUGGUUAUAUGAAGGAAAUCAUCAUAUCAGACAUAGAAAUGGAGAAUAUAUACACCGCUAUGGCCGCCACAGGUUAUUGUGGGUCUCAUCCUGAUGAUAAAUUUGACCCUAAUGCUCUACCACUUUUGGACCACAUUAUUUUGCAAGAUAUGAUUGGCACAAACAUCACUAUUGCUGGAAGCUUUGCUGGUCUUCAAGAAUCUCCCUUCACUAACAUAUGCCUUUCCAACGUAACUUUGUCUAUAAAUUCUGUUUCUUCCAUUCCUUGGGAAUGCUCAAAUGUCUCCGGAUUUUCAGAUUCUGUUCUUCCCAAACCAUGUCCUGACCUUGAGACCCUUUCAGAUUGUCUCUCCCUGCUCAGUAUCAAGGGAAAAACCGCUGUCAUGUGAUUAGCCAUGAAAAGGUUCAUAUUCUUCAAUUCCCUGCUUGAAAGCCCAUGCAAAGUGAUUAGCCAUUUCUAUCUUUAAAGCCCACAUUCUUUCCAAUAAGACAGUGAUUUGGAGCAUUCAUUUUUCCAUCCUUAGAUUUGCAUUCUUGCAUGCUGCAUGCACCAAGAGAACUCAAUUUGAUUUUUGAUUUUUGCAUUAGUUCAUUGUGAUUUCAUUGUAAGGCAUGUGAUGGAUUUCCGUGAGGCUCAAUAAAAGAAAUUUGAACUUGAAGCCAUAAUACACUGAUGGUAUAAAAAUGUUGUAGGCAAUUGACAGUGUACAAAUAUUCAUACUGAAAACUAAAUUCAUAUUAUUUAUCCAUGUAAAGUUUGUAAAAUUUUAGAGUUUAAUUUUAAGAUAUUGUUAAUGUAAAAAAAAAAUAUGUUGUUAACCAAUUAAAAAUUAUCUCAGAUAUGAUUUUUAAAAUAAUUAUCAUAAAAUAUAACAAUAAAAUUAAGUAUGAUAAUUUAUAAUUGGAUUAUAGUGUUUAUAAUUUUUACACUAUUAGUACAUUUUAAUUAAAUUUAUAAUUUUAAAUCAGCAUUUGGUUGGGUUAGUAAAUUAUUCCCAGUAAAUAAAGUAAUUAAUAAUAAUUUCCAGCUCAUUAAUCAUUAUCUACCCGUCGCAUUAUGAAAAGAAAAAUCAUCACGAAAUUGUUAGCUAGUGUAAUUGCACUGACAUUUUCCCCAUGCUUUUCACAGACUCAGAGCUACCUUCAUUUCUUUUCUAGUUUUUUCCAGACGAGUUUACUCUCGUGAUUUUCGUUCCAACACUCACACAGUCACACAUACAAAGAAAAAAUAAUCCGAGUCCUUCUAAUACUUAAUACAUCAUACAUUGUUCACUAAAAAAAUGUCACGAAAAACAUUUGAUUUUUGAAGUGAUGGGAAAAUCUGGCACAUGAAAGAAGAAACUGAUUUCAAAGACAAAAUUCAUUUUUGGGACAAGAGAUCAAGAGCAUGUCAUUACUAUUUCAAAGAUUAUUUUUUUUAGUUUAUAUAUAUAUAUAUAUAUAUAUAUAUAUAUAUAUAUAUAUAUAUAUAUAUAUAUAUAUAUAUAUAUAUAUAUAUAUAUCUUAAAAAGUAUUUUUCAUCAAUACAAUAUCACAUUGUACAUUUUAAAGGAGUGAAGUCAUAUGCUUAAAAUUCCGUAAAUUUUGUAUGUUUUUAUUUUCCCGAAUUUGCCAAUAUUAUAAAUUUGGGGGUCUGCGGUGGGCCGUAGCUCAUAAAGCCCACAGGGCAAGGAUUAUGGAUUAACUUGACAGAAACCCGAUCCGACCCGACACAAAACUUGUUUUGUUUCCCUCUCUUGCUGCGAACGGGAACCCUUUCUCGUUUCGUUCCUCUUUGCAAGCUUCAGCUGUUGGUUCGGGUAUGGCUUCAACGGACGUCAGAGACAUUUUGACAGCUUUCAAUCCUUCACUCGACUUCUUCGCUAUUACCGCCGGAGACGGUCGCGUCAAGGUUCGUUUCGUUUUUUUUCUCUAUCUUUCUUCUAAGCCUUUCCUCAACUGAACUGUUACUUAUUCACAAUUUGUCUGCAUAGAUAUGGGACACACUGAGGGGUCAGGUCCACACCGAGUUCGCCGAUAUUACCUCAACUCAUUCAACUGCUACUACUUUACAUCAUAAAUCAUCCAUUAACGGCCAUCUUGCGCUAGAUUAUACUUGCAUCAAGUGGUUCUCCUUCGACAAAAAGGUCCGUCCCUCACUUCUUCUUUUUUUUGCUAUUAUCUAUGUAUGUAUUACUAUUUCUUUUAGAAUGAUACUAUAUAUUUACACCUCUAAUAUUGUGAAUUAUUGCAGAGGAAAAGGAAGCAUAUAUCCUCCUUGUUAGUGCUUGGAACUGGUGGCGGUGAUGUUUUAGCACUUGACAUCGCUUCUGGUCAAUUGACUUGGAGACUUACUGACUGUCAUCCUGGGUUAGUUAGAUAUAAACUUAGCUGCACUACCUUUUCUCUUUUUAAGGCUGGCAUUAACUGUGCGAAUUGUGAAGACGAAACUCUAAUUUUGAUUGGAGAACAAACACUAAAAAGCACUGCAUCUAAGUUUGGUUUAAUUUAUUACUGUAUUUUAAUGGAUAAUUUAGGACCUAAUGCUCUGUAGAUUUUAAAAUCUGUAACUCCAUGAUGAUUGGACAUGGUGACUCCAAUCAAUGUUACUUUGUGGAUUUUAUGGGUUUUAGUUCCUGAUUUCUCUUUCUUGUUUGUUCAACUCGACUGCAGAGGUGUGAGAGCCAUUGCAUCUUCAGCAAAUGUGUCAACCAUUUAUACGGCUGGUGCAGAUGGGAUGGUAUGUUUGAUAGAUUUCAUGACAGGAAACCUGUUGGAGAAAUUUAAAGCUUCUACAAAGCCAGUAUCCUGCAUGUCUGUUUCUCCAGGUAUUUAUCCUUCACAGCUUUUGUAGAAAUCUUGUUGUUUUGGUGGGAGGAGAUCAAGUCAAUCUGAAUUAGACAUUUGUCUAUGGUGCGUGGUAUAAUUUGAUUGAGUUUCCCUCAGAAUUCUUUAAGCUUCUUGUUCUUGUAUAUUGUUAUUAAUAAUAAAAUAAAAUUGCAAAUAGAAAGCUCAAAUUUCUAAUUGUAAGGUUCAAUGAUCCAAAUUUAGUUAAGGAGACCAUCUACUCUCAAUGUUAGUUCUUUUAUUAUCAUUAGAAUGAAAAACUGUUUAUCACUUGAGGUCCAUAUUUGUUGAAUGGGUGCUAAACUAUUAGCAUUUAGCAAUAUUGCAAUAACUCCUUAGCUGCAGUGAGUCAAAACUCAAAAGGGCUUCAGUGAAUCAUGAUUUAGAUGAAUAUCCAAUUUGUAGGUAUUAUUACUACUGUUUUGAUUACUGAUUUGGUAAUUGCUUCUCUACUUAAAUCAGAUGGGAAGACAUUAGCUACUGCAGCAGCACAAUUGAAGAUUUUUAACUGUUCUAAUCACAAAAAGAUUCAAAAGUUCUCUGGUCAUCCUGUGAGUCUCGUAGAUUUCCCUAUGUACAUGCAUAUACUCUAUCAGUGCCCUUUUAAUUUGUCUUAAAAACAGGCGUGCCUUUUUUCUUAAAAAAAAUUGUCUUUGCAAUGAUUUUGUUGUUUGUAUAACAAUUGUUUUUAGUUUAAUUAACAGGGAUCUGUUCGAUGCAUGGUUUUCACUGAAGAUGGGAAGCAUAUCCUCUCAUCUGCUGUUGGUGAAAGAUAUGUUGCUGUUUGGAGGAUAGAGGGUGCUAAAAAGCAGUCAGCUAGUUGUGUUCUUGCGAUGGAGCACCCUGCUGUCUUUCUUGAUAGCAGGUGCAUUGAUAGUGAGGAACAUGAUGAGGCUGGCAUAUGUGUUUUGGCAAUCUCAGAAAUUGGCAUUUGUUAUUUAUGGUUUGGUAAUAGUGUCGAAGAACUGCGUAAUGCAAAACCCACUAAAAUAUCCUUAUCUUUAGAAGAUGUGCCCUCCAGAAACUACAAGGGAGCUCUGCCUGCAAUAUAUGCUGCAAAAUUACAAGGCAUCCAGAAGCCAGCCUCUGGGCAAGUUUUUCUUGUUUAUGGGUUGCUUGUAAAACCAUCAUUUAGAAAAAUUCUUGUGCAUUCUGGUGCGGACAUAAAGUUGAAUGUCUCUCAUGAUGGUGUUCUUCUUCCAAUGAGUCAAUCUCUUGGCAAAUCUAAGAAGGGGACAAAUGCUCAAACAGGUAAGACUUUUUGUGCCUUUGAUUAACUCUUUCUCACCAGCAUUCUCUUAUUUUGACUAUUUUUUGUCAAUAAUAAACUAUUUCAAAAGUUUGAGCUAUUAGUUGGGAACCCUAAUAUGUGUUUAUAUAUCUUACAAUUAUUUUACAUGCUUGCUUUGAUGCACAUAAUUUUGCUAUCUGAUCCUAUAACUAAUUUUGAACUUAUCCCCCAAAAUAAGCUGAUCUUAUAUUUCUUAGUAAUUGUAUUCCUGAUGCUGUUGUAGGUUACUACUAACUGAUGUUCCUAUAUUUUGACAGUAACUGCACUAGACCGAGCUAAUGCUGAGGAUGCCUUGCUUCCAAUUCCUAAGGUUUUUGAUUCUCAUGAGAAAGAGAAAGCAUUUCAAAAAUCUCUGGACAAGGAUGUAAUUGAUGAUUUGCAUAGAAGUAGUAAAGAUGAUUCUGUUGAGAUGGAAGGUAUUAAUAUGAUUUUUUUCUUAAACAAAUGCAUGAUUGAUUAAUGCAUCAAUUGUACCUUAUUUUCUUGCUAAGCAAUAAAUUGAACACUUUCACUAUUUUCCUGAAAAUGGAAUUUAUGGCUUAAUAUAUGUGUUGACAAAUUUAUACCAAUUUGGAAAUUUCAUGUCUAAUAACAAGUCCACCCUGCAUGCAAAGAAUAUGUACAGCCAGAUUCUCAUGUGGUUGAUUCACUUCUAGGUAUUUGUGCUUGUGUUUACGUAUCUGAGUAACAUCCAUUAUUGUUGUUUGUUAUAAAACAGUGGUACAUUUGUAUAGUGCUUUUCUUUGGAACAAUAAUGGCAUGACUCAAUAGAGACAGGCAUCCCAACUAGGUUGUCACCCCUGUCACUAGCAGUCAUCUGCAGAACAUCAUAAAAACAUGAAAGAAAGAGAACAAGAAAAGCGGGAGGGGGUGGGGGGGCAUAAACCAAACCCAUGAAAACAAGGAUCAAUCAUCUAAACCUAUAGUUAGGAAUACCAAACCUAUUCUGGUUAAAGUACUCACUACUGAAACGAAAAAUUAAAUCCCAGAAAAAAUAGUCCUGUAUGGUAAGACCAUGAGAGGCUAGCUUGUCUGCAUAAAACUCCUUAUUUUGAAGCCAUUAUUUUAAGAUCAACCACAGUCUUGACCUUUCAUUAAAAAUAUUGAGUAAUUGUGAUUGCUUAUGAAUUGUAACUUUUUCACCAGCAGUCAAUGGGGUAGCAUUCUUGUCAUUGGCUGAUUGGCAUUUCCACCAUCAAAUGAGAGACAUUUUUAAUAUAAUUUGCCUUUGUCUUCUGUUCAUUGCUGCUACUAAGUAUAAACUAGAAAAGAAGAUGCAUGGUUCUUUUGUGCUUUGCUUAAUCUAUUGAUUUUACCAAUCUAUGCAGAUGAUAUGGCACAAAGUGAGAUUGAUGUAAUUUGCAUGGAGGACCGGAUGAGAUCACUAGGGAUGAUUUCCAGUGAAAGUGUGUAUGCAUCAAACAUUGAACUUUGCUGUAAGUUGUUGAAGGGUAUUGAUCUGGAAGCUACUGUUCCAAUGAAAAAGGUUAAUUUAUGAGUCAAUGUGACUGUCUUUUGCUAUUACUUUUGGUUCCAUAUGUUCUUUUAUCUAUUUAUUUUUUUAUUGUCAUUGCAUUAUAUUAAUUGUCCAUAUUUUUUAAAAGUUGAAUGGAAUUGUUUAUGUGCCUGAAUUUAAGAUCCAUUUAUCAGAUAAGAGCAGCUGUUUUGUCUAUGAAGUCAACCAAAGCAGGGAAGCUACUGGAAGUGUUACUGGCUGCAUGGGAAUCAAGGUUUGGUUUCUUUUUUGGGGCUUUCUUCUGAAAGGUCUCUUGCCUAUGCUGGGAUGUUCUAAAUUUUCUCUUGUUUGUUGAUUGUUUGAUUGCAAUAGUAAAAUGACCAAAUGUUAUUCUAGGAGUAAUGUUUAGUAACUUAGUUAUGGGUAGCAUUGGAUGUCUAGUUCCUUCUCCAAGUUGAAAUGGAAAGCCAACGUGUUAGGAACCAAGAAUAGGAAUAGGAAGGGAUGGAAAAUAGGAGAGAGAUCUCUCCUCCAGGCUCCAACAACUGUUUCCCCCUCAUGAAGGAUUUCUUCUUUUACAGGGAGCAAAAGCUCAAUUCUCAAAUGAUUCAAGACUGAAUGCCUCUUGCCUGACACCCUCCUAUUUAUUUACCUCCUAGACCCCUCUAACUAACUAACUAUAUAAACAAGAUAGAAUUGGAAUCAAAUUGAACCAAAUAGUAGUAUGGUAAAAUUUAUAUUAAUUCUUGAACUUAAAUGACAUCUUAUGAUAAAUACUUCACCAGCUCAAGUAAUUUAGAAGAAUGGGAAUCAGUGUUGGCUUGUAAUCAUGUUAAGGAAGGUCCUGUUUGGUUUCAGAAAACAUCUUAUUUUCGUAAAUACUUGGAAAAAUGCCACCUUGUUUUCACAUUUUUCCUGUUUUAAAAAAUUUGUAGAGACAGUGGAAACAAGCAAUUGUGAUAUCUUUCAUUAUGUGUUUUCUUUUCCGUAAUGCCAAAGCAUAUGCACUCAAUUCUCUUGACAUUUUCUAAAUCUUUAUUCAACAGAUCAUCUAGUGGAAAGUAUAUUCUUCCAUGGAUAUACAGCAUAUUAGUGAAUCAUGAUCUCAGUGGCAUUCCUCAGCAAUAUGUGACACGUACACUCAAUUCCUUAGACAAGGUAUAAUGGAUUAAAUUUUGUUUUCUCAUUUAUGUGCUUGGUAUCUGCAAUCUCAACUUUAAAUUCAUCAUGCUUUAUUUACUAAAUGGAAAUUUCAAAUCUAAAUAUAAUUCCCCUAAUUUAAUUCUGCAGCUUCUGCUAUUAUUCCUUCUUGUAUAAUGAAUGCUUCAUUGAUGUCCUAAUAUGACAUGUGGCACUUAUGUUGAAUUUCAUCAUAUGGUUAACUUCGCUGAUGUUAACUAAUGGAUAGAAAGACUUGAAAGAUAAUGAAAUGGCCAAAAGAUCAGUUAAUUUAACUUUAAAAUUAUAUAAAUAUUAUGCAUAGAAAUAUCUGACAUGGCUUAUGCCAUUUAUGUUGUAAUUUGUUCUCUUUCUGAUACACUUCUAUUUGCUUUUUUUAUCAGCUUCUGGCCUACCCACAAUAUUUGGCCAACUGAUCAGUAACUUGAUAUGGUUGGGAUAGUUCACAAAGUCAAAAUGAUGAAAUGAAAUGAAACGAAACUACACUGCCUGACUAAUUGCUUAAAGACUUAAAGUGCAUUGAAGUUGCAAUUACAAUUUUGCAUGUCAUUCUAAAUUUCCUGUUUUAAAACUGAAACCUGAACAUGCCAUUAUAUUCUGAUUUUGUAAAACAAUAUUCCUCUAGCUUCUUCUGGGGUGGGAAUAAAAACAUGACUUGAAAAUGUUAUCUGAUUAUUUCUCUUAUAAAGUUGUGAUAAAACAUGCAAUAGGAAUAACGACAGGUUAUGGAUUGGGAACAAUGGGAUGUCUUUGUAUUGAAUGGCUAUUUAUUAGUAUUCUUUUUGAAUACUAAGGUUACUCUGAUUUGUUUCUUGUCAAAUUUGCUUCUUUUGAUCAUUCUGAUUUCCUGGUGAUUUCUGGUUCUGUUUAUGUGAUAUAGCUUUACUUUUUGAGAUUUUGAAACGUUGUCUGCCACUUUUCAGAUUACCAAUUUUAGAGGGGCAACUCAUCAGCCUUUGUUACAAUUAUCAGGUCGUCUGCAACUGCUGACAUCACAGGUACGGUCACAUUUUCUGAAAUUAGUUUGGCCGUCUGUUGAAUGUUAUUGGUUUUCAGGGGCCUUAUUAAAGUUUACUUUCAGAUUGACAAGGCUUCUCAGACUAUAAGCCAUUCUGUGCAUGAACUCCAAAUGCAAGAAAGUGAAGAUGAAGAUGAAGUUGAAGUUGAAGAUGAAUAUUAUCACGAGGAAGAUGAUUCUUCUGAAAUAAGUACUGAUGAUGAAAGCUAGUUUGAUUUUUUCUAGAGGUAAUUACAUACAUAAGAGUUUUUAUUAUGACUUAUGCAUUUGUUCAUACCAAAAUUGCUAAAGUGGAUAAAUAGUGUGUUUAUAUUGGUGGCGAGAAACUCAAUCAUGGUGGCAUCAUGAAAAACUGGAAGCAACUUUGUGUUGCUUUGCCUUUAACGUGAAAAAUCUGAAUUGAUUUUGGCAAAAGUGAAGCCAAACCAAACAUGCUAAAAUGUGGUUAAAUAAAGAUGAUUUUAACUGAGUCUGGAGAUCCUGAAACACCCAUUCUGCAUUUGUUUGGGAAUUUAUUAUCCUCUUUCGAGAUUGCUUAAAUUAUUGAUAAUGAUGUAUUGUUUUUCUUUUGCCACUUAUUGCCAAUAAACCUUUUCCACAUCAUUAAUUCUUAAAACUCAAUGAGGAUCUCAGUCAGAUUCUAGACUUGGGCAUAGCUGAUAUUGCGCAAAAACUACUUGAUUUAUGCAAAUUUUUAUUAACCUAAAGAAUUUCUUCUCUGCUUCUUAGCCUAUCAUAAUAAAAAGACUAUUUUGCAAUUAGUAGCCACUAUCUAAAUUGUUUCUUUGGAGAACUAAUCUCUAUAAAGUGCCAAUCUGUUAACAUAUUUGGUUUUCCGUUUGCCUAUCUUAUUUUUUUUGUUUUACCCUAAAAAUUCUGGUAUUGUCUCGUGAUGUUAAUAAUUCUAGCUAUCAUAUAAGUCCAUAUAUGCCUUAUUAAUUGGAGUUUUACUAUUAACUGUUUACAGAUUGGGUUCCAAGUUGUCUCUUUUGCGGCUGACGAAGAUGUAGAGGAAUGGAAGCUGCUGUAUUUCAUCCAGCCCCCCUUGUUCACAAUUUUGUUGCUAUAUAGAUAGAUACAUCCUCAGAGAGAAAUUUUGGUAUCAUCCAGAUUUGUUAAAAAAUGACGCGGCCCCUAAUUUAUGUAAUUUGAGAUUUUUAUUGUUAAGUAAAAAUACGUAAAUAUAGCUCGGGCAUAUUUACAUGUUUGAAUACAUGCUCAAAAUACUACGAUGAAGAUUUAGUAUCCUCCAGAUCUACAACAGCUUUGAUUUCGUGAUAAAAGUUUUGCAUACCCCAAAUUGGCCUACACGUAGCAAGUUAACUGCAAGAUAUCUUUUUGGCUAUAGUUACAAAUAUCUCUUCCCGAACAUGUUUUUAUUACCCUUUAUUUAUUAUCGCGCUUUUUGGGUCUCACGAAUGGAAUCCAGAAUAAAAUUUUCCAGCUCCCAGAAGUUAGGAAUAUUCUCUCCAUUCUUGGAUCACAUGCAAACUAAAGUAUUCUCAUUUUCAAUCUUCAAAUUAUAGUUUUUCGAAUCGUCUUCGACAACUCACUUAUCAAGACAUAUGAAAGCUCAUGAAACCCUAACUACUACUAGACAAUGCAACAUGCAUUGGGAUUAUCAUCGCUGAACAUGGAUGUGAUGUUUACAUUGUCGUUCUGGUAAUCUCCACUGUAGUGUUCUAUACAAUUGUAAUGUGUUUGUCUGGAUGGUGAUCUGACGUAUUCAUAUUCAGUGACGAUUGACGAAGGCACGUGUGUGUUAUAGCUGUGUGUCACAUACAUGGGUCGGGAUGACUCUUGUAGAAAUACAGGGCCAUUAUGGUAUCUGUGCCAGUGUUCAACAUGGUUGCGGCCAGAACUGAAUCUGUUAACGUUGUUAGGCAGAUGAUAGUAUUGCUUCACAUGAACCUGUUCUAAUUCUUCAAUUCCUGUGUUGUUCUGCCACUGCCGGCUUGUCUUGUGCUGUGUAGGUAUGUGCGAUGGUGGUGUUGCUUCAGGUGGUGGCCGUUGAGGCGGUGGUUUUGAUGGUGGGCUUGCUUGAGGUGGUGGAACUCGUGCUGGUGGUGGUUGUGUUGCAUCAGGGACUGGUGCAUUUUCUUUUGGCUCUGGUUCAGUUGGUUUAGAUGGAGACGUUAGUUCAAUACUAGAGCAAAUGGUGGCAUUUUUUUUUGUCUUCUUAAUUGCUUUGACAACUUGUUCUGGAUCUGCCCACCCAAUAAUUGUGAGCUUUUGUUGAAGUAGGUCAACACGAAGAUCAUGUAUACCUGCAAAAUGAUAAAGUUAAUCAAAUAAUUUGGAAACGUUGCUGCAUUAUUUGCAAGGGAAAUAAUUUAAAUAGAUACCAUGAAUUCCAUUUAGUGUUUUUUUUAUCUUCUGCACGCACCCUUUGCAGUCCACUCGGACCUGUAUUUGCGUGACACGAGGUGCCUGCAUUUGAUGGAUUAGCCACUCUUAAAGAAGAGAUAAUGCUUGCUACAUGUUUAAAUUUAAAUUGAUAUAAAAAACCAUAAUUUCAUUGAUCAACAUAUAUGCUUUGGAUAUUACCUGUGAAUCCCGAGCCAUGGAGGCAUGGAGCUGUAAAGUUAUAGAAAACCAAGAGAUAUGCUUUUGUUUUAAGGAAGUGGAUUAUGGAUGGAGAACCUGUGAAUGGAAUCCAUCUGUUCAUGCCUUACAAGGGCAAGGAAUAUGUUAAAAGCAAGACAUGCGGGAAAUGCAAGGAAUCAUUUUUUUUUUUUUGACGGCCAAGGGGAGACAGAAAGAGAAAAAUGGUCUGCGGAAGAGGGGUGAUGAUUCAGGAAAGAAUUCAGAGGUUCUUCUCUAUGGACAUUUGUAAAUUGUAAUGUCGAAUCUCGUUGUUACCUAAGAUAUAUGAGGCUGGGGGCAUAUCUAAUUCCAACACUGCCUAAAAGCUUAAACGGUAGGGUCGGUGAAGGUUGACAAACCUUUGGCAAUAAUGCUUUCGUCACAAAGAAGCCAAUAAUUAUAUUGGUUUGUCACUUAACCUUAGUUGGAAGGAACAAACCUUAAACUUGGCAUCUCUCGUAAGGGUAGGCGAACACAAAUACGUGCUUUGGUGCUCAUUGGUUUUUGCUAAUCCGUUCAUAUUUUAGAAUUUGGGUGCAAAAAGACUUAAUAUCACAGGACAUUUGGUGAGUUCCUAUAUUAAGGUUUUUGCAAGGAAGAAAACUUGCACAAUGAUGAGUCAAUAAAAGCUUUACCCCGGAGUAUGUCAACUGCAGUUUGUGCUAACUGCUCUCUCCGAAUAUUAUUGUUGGACAACUCCGUACUAAUAUUUUAUCAUCCUUCUUGAAAGUCUUUUUGCAUAAUUUAUACAAAUUCAGUAUAAAGCAGUAUACGUAAAGUUUCUAGUCCUUUCCAUAAGUCCUCUUUCAUCAAGUGGUGGUUUCUUUCACAGAUGGGAAGGAAUAAUUACCAUUCAUACACUCAGUAACAGUAAGUCAGCAACUCAAUCCUUACGUUUACUACUUUACCCUAGUAAAAAGUAAAUAAGAAUUCAAUAUGAAACAAUAGUUUACAGGGUGGGUCAAGUGACUUUCACCCUCCUUUUGGUAGAAAUGUCAUGCCCGUCUUUAAAGAGCAAGAAGUGAAUGUCACUUGAAUAACCAUAUUUUUUGUUUGAUUGCGGUUGAAACUUGAAAAGUAUAGAAAGUGAGAAACCCAAAAUGACAAAAAGCUGAAGAAAAUUUAAAAUACUAAAAUUUAUCUUUUGGUGCCUCUAAACCCUCAUUCCAGCUGUGAAGCAGAAGAAAAUUAUCUUAAUCAUGACCUUACCUCAUUUAUAAAUGGAAACUCUUGGAACCUACCUCAUGUACGUCCAACAUGUUAAUAUCAUUAGAGUAUUAUUGGCUCGUAUUAUUGUGACUCAAAGUCUUGGCCUGCGUUUGUUUUUCUGUUUACAACCAUCCAAACACACGUUUACUCAAUAGAAAUGAAUUGUUGCUUCUUUGUUUAAGUACAUUGGAAUCCAUGUAAAGGUAAAACAAAACACUCUUCAACUCUUUUUUACUACCAAAGUACAAAUAUUUUUGGCAAACCACUAGCCAUUUUUGGCUGUUCAUACAAUAAGGACUUAUUAAGGAAUUCAAGUCUUUGCAACCAUUCUAAACAACCCUAUAUUUGGUUGCACACCGUUAUUAAAAAAUUGAAUAUGUUUUUAUAUCGUAUGAUACAUGACACAAUAAAUAAGCAAGUGAUUAAGCAUACACUUGUGGGUUCUCGAGCAGGUAUGACUCCACAACUCUGUAAACUGCAAUACCGCUUUCCCUUCCUUCCUUUACCUCUUCCUCUUUAACAUCAAUCUCUCCAAUGGUAUUGUAAUUGCUUGUCAUUUUGCAUAGGCAACCUCCAUCACUAGUAGCCUCAAACUUCACCUCAUAACCUAUAGAAUCAAGCUUGUCGCCCAAUGGAUCCCCUUCAAUCAUAGUGUAUUUGCAAACCAAGUUGUCCUUGUCAAGCACAUCAAUCCUGUGUUUCAGAUAUUUGAAGGGGCUAGCUGCAUAAAAUAAAUACACAACAAGUUAAUUCAAGAAAUAUAGAGAAGUGAUCCUGUUUCAGCUGAACUAGUUCAUGUUAAUUUGAUUGCUAACCUUCAUUGAAGUUAACUUGUUCAAUGCUUCCAGCUUCACCAUCACCUUGGAUCACAUUCACAUCUUUUACAAACUGAGGUAAGAGCUUUGGAAGCAAAUUUCUGGAGUCUACAAUCAAGGCCUUGAACAUGCGUGAUGGGGCAACAGAGGAGGAGUAUUCCUGUGUAAAGGUUGUGACUCCCAUAGUGAAUUUUUGUAGAUUGCAGAAAUCUCAGGGAAUCAAAGUAGUGAAUGGUAGAUAUGAUCCUAGAUAAAGAGGGAAGGACUAGUGUUUUAUAGGUCCAGCCAGCAGCCACACUAUAUGAAGUGAGUUUCGUGGAAAUGAGGCCUUUGAUAGAAUUGGAUAAGUUGGUAGUUAAGAAUGAUCAAUGGGAAUUUUCUUAUUUGAAGACCUACAAUCUUGGUGGCUGCAGCAUGUUUUUAAUUGUUUCAUAAAUAAGCUUAUUAUUCAAACUUAUGGCCCCACACAUGGAUUGGAUUCAUACAAUUCAGGAUACCUACCCGGGUAUUAUGCUGAGAACAGCAGGUGUUAAUGUGUGUGUUAUUCACCAAAAGUAUGUAGAAGUAUUUUUACCUUAACCAAUGAGGAAACGAGCAGUGGCUAGAGAGAAGAGCAAAGAAAAAUGAAACAAGCAAACAAACCACCAUUUUUGUUACUUUAAUUUAAUGAAGGUAAGACUUAAGAGCCAGCACAAGGCUGGGGUCCGCAAUCAAAACUCAACCAGGCAAUUAUUUAACCAUACGUCAAUAUAAGAAAGAGGUUUUCAUACUUAUUAGUUAUCACAUAACGGUAUCAAUUAUGACACGGCAAAUGGUGUCACAUAAGAAGACCCCCAUUUUUGUUUUAUUUUUUGGAAUGGAUACUAUUACGCUUAUUAAUGAAAUAAAAAAGAAAUAUAUUUCUACAAAAAAAAAUUAACAACUUAAAUAUAAUUUUAAAUAAUUAUAAAGUUAAAUAAUUUUAUCAUAUGAUAAUAUAAAAUAUUAAUUUUUACACUGUGAGUAUAUUUUUUUGGUAUGCAUUAUAACUUUGAACGCGUAUGAUGGGGCAGCAAAGGAGUAUUCUUGUGUAAAGGUUGUGACUCCAACAGUAAAUUCUGUAGACUGCAAAAUUUACAUGGAAUUAAAGUUGUGAAUAUAUAUCCCGAGGAACAGACUAUGGUGUUUAUAGGUCCAGCAAUCACUAUAUAUAUAAUGAACUAGUAAUUAAGUUUCUUAGAAAAUGAGCCCUUUAAUGGGAUAAAUUUGGAAGUUAAGACCUAAAAUGGACAUUUACUUGGUAGUAGUAGUUAACAAUGGUCUCGGAAAUUUCUUAUUUGAAGGCAUUCAAAGGGAAUUUUCAAUGUAAGACCUAAGACCUAAGAUGAUGCAUUUUUUUACUUAAGAAAUAAUUACAUCUUUCAUUCAACUAUUUUUUAAAAUUAUUUUCAUAAGAUUUUUUUAAAAUUAAUUUAUUCUCUCGAAAUUAUUAACCUUCCAAACAUGGACCAAGGCUGUUAUUCAAACUUAUGGCCGUCACAUCGACUAUUGGCAAAAUCAGGUCAUUUGCCAACAUUAUAGACCUGGAUAAAUUGGAUUCAUACAAUGCAAACUCAGAAAGAAAAAGAAAGUCAAAAUAUGGUUCCUUACUUUCCUUGGUAUGCUGAGAACAUCGGGUAUUAUUAAUUUAUUAUCCACAAGUUGUAGUAUUUUUUAGUCGUCAUUUACCUUGAAGCUGCCAUCAGGGAAAUAUGCAGUGGCUAAAGAAGAAGCAAAGAAAAUGAAGCAAGCAAUUAACUAACUCUUAAUUUCUUCCUCUUUUUUUUCCUUUGUAUAUAUAAAUGUAAUAGUUACAAUAAAACUAUAAUAAGAUAUGAUCAUGUUUAAAGAGAAAAUAAGACAAUUGUUAUUAAUUAUAAUUAGUAAACCCUAUAACUAAUUAUAACAGAUUGUUAUUUGAUAAAAAUAAUUUUCUUUUCUUCUUUAUAAAAAUAACCACAUCAUGUUACUCACUAUAAGAAAAUGAUUAAAAUUUGUUGGAAUUCAAGUAUAAAAUGUCACAUUGAAUAAAAUUAGACAAGUUGUGUAACAUAAAAGUAAGAAAAACUUACAAACUUAUAAUUUUACUUGGUUUAUUGGUGAAGAUCUUCAUGUUGUUUUACCCCUUUGUUGGAUAUUCAACGCAUAUGCAAGAGAUUGUGGGUGAAAUUUUUAUAUUAUAAAUAUUUGGAUGGUAUACAUAUCCUCAAUGUUCAACCAAUGGUGCUCGUACAUAUGGAAAUCAAUUCUCAAAGUUAAGGCUCCUAUAAAGUCCAGUUUCAAAAUCAGAAUUGGGAAAGGUGACGUGUCAGUAUGUAUAAUAAGUGGCUAGGAGAACAUAACUUCUGUAAUUUGAUUCCCUAUGUUCACAUAGAAGAUAGUUUGAUACAGCUCAAGGACAUCCAAAUGGAAAUGAAGAACUCCUUUAUUGAUGGUUUUUUGCUGAAGUGGUACUUACUCGGCUAAAAAACGUACAUACCAGUGGCUACAGAAUAAGACUUAUUUGUGAAGUGUUGUGGUUUGAUCAGAAACAUAAUUUUUUUUCUCUCACUGCUCACGUGAUUAGCUUCAAGUAAAUGUUCGUGGCACUAAUGGAUCUCUCUUUGUGGUGGCAUGCAGGAUUAUUUGGAAAUUAAGGAACGCAGAUGUUUUUAAUAUUUUAGUUCAUAUUUUGCAUGAAUUUGGAAUGUGUGAACAAAUUGAUUGGCAAAGCAAGGAGCUUAGACAUUGUUGGGGGCUAUAAUUUUCCCAUUUUUGAGAUAAUGUAAUGAAACAUAUGAUGCAGUACUUUCUUGCGAUUUUAUUUUUGUUACCAUCAUCAUCAUGGUUACCUCAAAAGCGAUUAAUUUGUGUUUGGUUAAGCAGCACCAAAGCACUCCUUAGUUUGGAGAAUUUAGUGCUGUUAUGCAUUCGUAAAUCAAUGAACAUGUUCUUUUUUGAAUAUUUCUAGCAACGAAUUAGAAUCUUUCUGUGAUGUAUUGAAGCGAGUUUCUUCUUUUAAUUUAAGUUGCACAUAAUUGUAUUAAUUUAUACUCAUAUUAUUAUUAUAAACAUGAGUAUACAAUAUAUUGAAUUAGCACGUGAUUUUUGGGCAACAGACUAUAUUUUUGAGAGAGUUGCCUUUUAGAAAUGAGAGUCGAGUAAGUACUACUUGUUGGAUCAUUUUCUAAUUUUAUUUGGGCUUUGCCCCUUUUGUUUCAAAACCAAAAAUGAGUAUACAAUACAAUUGGACUUUGGGCUUUCAAAAGUAUUUAAAUCAUAAGUGGGCUUUUGGGCUCACAACAUAUUAACACAUUAUAUUAACAAUUUUUAUUGGAUAAUAAUAUUAUUAUUAUUAAUUUAUUAAUAAUAAAAAUAUAUAUAAUAAAUGAAAAUUUAUUCAUUUAGUAGUAAAUAUAUGUACAAAUUUUCCCACCAUUUAACUUAGAUAUGUAUAAUUUUCACUUAUAUGUCAAAGAAAUCUAUUAGUUUAGUAGUUAGUAAUUAAUAUUAGAAUCAAAAGCAGAGGGUUCAUAUAUAUAAAAUCAACUAAAAAUAAUCAGAUAUUAAAGUUUAUAGCUAAUUAAAAUUUGAUAUAAAAUAGGUAAGCAUUAUUUUACGAUAUACACUAAUUUAUAUUCAUUGACAUUGGCUAUUAUAGAUGAAUAUCAUUAAUAUAAUUAUUUUUAGUAAGUUAUUUGCAGAUAUUCUAUUUUUAGUGUUAAUUCGAGUUCGUAACAUGUUCUAUAUAUUGAUCUUAAAAUGAAAUAAUCCGUUUUUUUAAUUUAAUUUUUAAAUGAAAAUGUAUUAUAUUGGCUCACGUAUAAAAUUUGUCACUGUAUGCGUCAGAGAUGUUGCUCACAUAAUUCUAUCUUUAACGGUUAUAUACGAGCAUGAGUGCAUGACUAUUGACUCUGCUAAUAAUCACAUUUUCUCUUUUUUACUCCUUAGUGGAUUUUUUUUCUUGGUCGACCAUUAAAGAGUUGACACCAUCAAGUUUACAACAGUAGAACCCAACAAGAAUACAAGGGCUGAAUAGCAAAGUUGAAUUAAUGUACUUCAAUUUAAAAUGAUAAUUUUGCCAACGAAAAUAUAGAAACUUUGAUUAAAACAAUUAUAAGAACAAUGAAAAAAGUAAUAGUGAUCACAAUAAAAAAAAGAUGCUACAAAAAAGAACAAAAUGAAAAAUAUCAUGUCCAAUACUAACCUAAUGAACCUAGUUCUAAAUCAGUGAGACCAGCGUAAUAAAGUGUUCAUACGAAGGUUAAUUAGCUACUAGCUCCUUUACAUGCCAUUAGUUAUAACUGUCCAGUUGUUUAAAUUUUUAAUAAAGAAUCAAUUGUGCUCAAAUUAAUUUUAAAUUAUUAAAUGUGGUUGAGAUGUAUGCUUAAAAUAAUUUUAAUAAUACGUUUUACAUUAAAACAUACAUAAUGAUUUAUGAGAGAAAUUGGUGUUCAAUGUAAACCAAAUAGAACUCAAUUAAGUAAUUUUAAGUUUGGAAAAUGUUUUUUUUUUCUACAAAAAAAAUUACACUAAUGUAGAGCAAUAAUUACAUGUUUUUAAACCCAUAAAAAUACUAGUUUACAAUUUAAUGAAUCAAUCGUUUAGUUGAAUUGGGGUUGAGCUGAUAUUUAUAACUUUACAUAAUUUAUUAUAUAACAAACCAAUAUAAAAUAAUAGAACUUAAGUUAAAUAAGUAAAAUUUAAAUUUAAAAGGGUUAUAUUAAAUUUUUUAAGUUAAAAAAUUAAAUGUACCCAAAUUAUAACUAGGUUCAUUAGGUUAGUAUUAGACAUGAUAUUUUAUAUUUUGCCUUUUUUUAUAGCAUAUUUUUUAUUAUUAUUGUAUUCACUAUUAAUUUUGUUUCAGUGUUCUUACAAUUGAUUAAUCAAGGUUUCUAUAUUUUCCUUUAUAAAAUUCUUAUUUUAAAUUUAAGUACAAUGAUUCAAAUUUUGGGCUGCUGCUAAUUGAGAAGCCUCUUGUUAUUCUGCCAUUGUCUUCUAGGGUUAUAGAUUUGAUGGCGUCAACUCUUUAAUGGUUGACGAAGGAAAAAAAAUCCACUAGGGAAUAAGGAAAAAGAGAACGUGAUUAUUAGGACUUAGGAGAGUCAGUAGUCAUGCUAGUUUAGAACUGUUACAAACAGAAUUAUGUGACUAACAUCUUAGCUCAUUGACAAAUUUUACGGUGAGCCAAUAUCAUUAUUUUCCAUCGUAAUCGUGAUUCUGGUAAAGUUCUUACUAACUUGAUUGUUAUUGGAAUGUGUUUUGGAGGUACUCACUUAAUCUCUUCAACAUCUCAUACACACCAAAAUACCGGUCAAUUUAGAAGAUCUCAAACCUUGAAUCAUUAAAGCACGUCAAAGUCAAUGCUUAUUAGGAAAAUCCUAAAUAAAUUGUUCACCUCAAACACGUUAAAUAUUACUCCACUUUUCACUGGCUUAUUUCGAACGCUUCAAAAUAAAAAAAAGAACAUAGUUGCUAGCCCCUUCUCACUGGCUUAUUAUUCAACUUUGCAUUGAAUGUGAACCAUGAAAGUUUGUCUUUCGCAUCAGCAUGAGCAUUCACCAUCUAUUGACUUUGACUCACGAACUCUUCUAUUCAUUCUUUGACUUUAUCUAUAUCUUCUCAAUAUUUAGUAAAAUAUACUAAAUAAAAAUAAUUUAAUAUUAAGAUAUUUAGGAUUUAUUUAUAUUUGUAAAUUGAUCGGGGAUAUUUUAAAAUAAUUUCAAAUCCUUUAAUUAUUGUUAUUAAUAAUCGUCCUAAUUAGUAAAUAAAAAUUAUUGAUUUAUUUAUAUUUUCAGAUAUAAAAUACAUUUUCUUUAUUUAGCAUUUUUUAUAAAUAUUAAAAUACUAAUAAGUAAUUAUUAUAUAUAAUUAACGCCUUCUAAAUAAUUCUAAAUCUUCCGUGACAAUUUUUCUGUUUUCGUUAAUCCCAUAACUUAUAAUUAAAAUAUGUUAAGUAGAUCCCGGUUAUAAGUGUGACACACUAAAUUGAUUACUACAAAACAGAUUAAAGAAUAUAAAAUUGCGUCUAGAUAUUGAGUACUACACACGGGAGUAACAUUUUGAAUCUCGUGACUUGAGGCUUCAUCUAUUGUUUAUUUUCUUUUAAGUUAUUUUGUUUUCUCCACAUAUAUUCUUAUUGUUUGAAUCACUGAGAAAAUAUUAAAUGUCAACAAUUUUUUAUAGAGAUUCAAACUAUAUAUGAUGAUUCAAUUCAACACAUUGUAAUCUUCCUAUAAGCUAUUAGGUAUUAAUUAUGCAUUCAUAUUGAAGUUGAAGAGAGAAACAUUGAUCGAUCGAUAUUGAUAUAUAACAAAAGGAUAACGAAAAUAUACAAUAAUGAUGGGUACACAAACCAGUUUGUAAUAAUCUCAAACUUUUCUCAUGAAGCAAAGUCAAACAAUAAUUUUAUUGGAAAUUAAAGCAACACACGACAAGAAGGGAAAAAAAAAACACAAAAUGACCAUAAUUAAUAAAACUGAGACAUAAUUAUAAUUGGUGACUUAAUUAGUUGUAAUCAGGAUUAGCCUGAAUGAAAUCCUCAAUAGCCUUGGUGAAACCUGCAGAUCUCUCCUUGCCAGUCUUCACAUAUUCUUCGGCGAGUUGCUCAUCACCUUUGGUAUAGUAUUUGCUUGUGGACUUCACAAUGGAUCCUCCAUCUGGGGUUGCCACCAGUUUGUACUCAUAACAUAUCUUCUCCAAUGGCUCCGACAAUGCACUGCCUUCAAUCACACUAUAGUUGUACACAUAGUUUUCUGUGUCAAUUGCAUCUACGUGGUGCUUCACAUAACCUAAACCUGUUCACAUUUCACACGUACACACACAUAUAUAUAUAUAUACACACAUGGAAUGAGUUAUAUUAACGAGUGUAAAUACAAGCACAAUGAAACCACCAUGAAUGCUUCGGAAGAGAAAUCUAUUAAUUAAGAGUAACGUUAUAUCCUCCGACUAUAUAUAUCUUAGUAUAAAAAAGUAUUAAAUGAAAAAAAAUAAAGUAUAUUUAAUGUCUUCUAAAUAUAGAACACAUAUUUAAUAUUUAUUUACUAUACAAAGGAAGUAGAAAUAUCGUUGAAGGAUUUAAAAUUAUUGUAUCUCUUAAUUGUUCCAUAAAUGGUUAAAAUUAAUUACUAAUAUUUACCUUCAGCAAGAGUAAGCUUCUUAAUGGUUCCUGGCCCUCCAUCUCCUUCAAUGGUUUCUACGCUCUUAAUGAAAUUUGGCAAUGCUUUUGGGAAGACAUUGCUGGCAUCUAGGACAAUAGCUUUGUAUAAUUUUGCAGCAGAGACGGGGGAAACGUGUUCGCUUUCAGAAGUGAAAACACCCAUGAUUUUUUUUACCCAAGAUAAAAAAAUAAAAAUAAAACUAAAAGAAAGGAUGAGAUAGAAGAAAAUAUUUUGCUCUCUUAGGGUGUGAGUUUAUGGAUUUUGGUAUUGCCUUAAUUUAUAGGCGCUUCAGGUUACUGUGAAGUUGCCCCCACAACGCGAGAGUUCGAUUUAUUUUCUUACAAGUUAAUGCCCAAGUCAAAUCAAGGGAGGAAGCUUCAUCGUGGUGACAUGGAUCAUUAUUACAAACUAGAAGGAAUUCCAAGUCUUUCUCAUGCCCUUCCAUCUACUUUAUUUAUCAAAAAAGUUAAAUUUAAAAUAAAUUAUCAAAUUAACCAAUUGUUUUUUUUUUGUAAGGAAUUGAUCAAUUGGUAAUUUGUGGUUCAGUCUAUUUGAAAAAUAUUGAAAUAGUUUGCAGUGAAAGUAUUGAUGGUAGUAUAGGACUUCAUUACAUUCAUAUUGAAAGUGGAUCUUCUUUUCUUCUAUGUCUUUCAACCUCUCCAAUCCUAAAAAAAUAUUUCACGUGUUCUUAAUUAUAAGAUAUUUUUAAAAAAAUUGUCUGUUAAUUAUAAGAUAUUUUUAAAAAAAUAUUUCACGUGUUCUUAAUUAUAAGAUAUUUUUAAAAAAUCAAAUAAUUUAUUAUACUUAAAUAUAAAUAAAUCUAAUUAAUUUUGUUAUAUUUAAUGUUAUCAUUCUUAAAAUAUCUUUCAUGAUUUUAAGUUUCAAUAAAAGAUAUUUUAUAAAUAACUUUAUUUUUUAUUUGAAAUUAAUAAAAUUAAAUGAUAUAAACUAUUUCUUAGUAUGAAAUUAACUAUUUUUACUUAUAUAUACCUUGAGAGAGUAACAGGGUAAUACCAUGUACAAUUUCUGACUAGUGUAUUGUUUGCUGUACACGCACCUGUAUAUCUAUAUUUCAAACACAAGUAAUUACAAGUAUAACUGCUUAGUUAUGAUUAAAGAAACAUAAAUACCAACUAAACAGAUACGCAUAGAUGAAUAAGGUUCUCUAAUCGGAUCAGUGUAAUUGAACUAUUAAAGUGUCGAAUUUCACUUCAAAGAAAUCUAGAAACAAGUUGGAAUUAAAAGACCAAAGCUGCAAUUAAUAAUGUCAGAAGCACAUAAUUAUCAGCCCCAAAAUAAACGGAAUAUAUAUAAAACACUAUAACAAGUUUUGUUAUUCGGAGAAAAUCCUGAAAGUGAAAACCAAACCAACGUGUUUCUUGUUCGUUUUAGGAAUACUUCAAAAACUGUCGAAUUAUUUUUUGAACAUGAAUCCAUGGUGAUGGGUGGUGCUAUGCUCUUGGCGAUUAGUUGAAGUCAUAUGUGCCAUGAUUGGUUUCAGUUUGGACUUAUAACUUGCCAUAUUAGAUGGCCCAAUUCCCCAUUCAAUGCAUACACCCACUUCAACUUCAAACCUUCCCCAACAUUCUCAAAGACUUCAUAGCCGAAACAGACCUCAUUCAAGGCCUGCAUAGCCCAGAGAGACCUCAUAAGUUUACCCGAAAUAUUUCUUAUUCAAAUUUAAAAGUUUCAAUUUAUUUUCUUAAAAAGUAACUUAGAACUAAAUCAAAUCAUCUGAUUUUAUUUAUCUAAUUUGGCUUGUGAUUAUAUGUUUAUGAUGUUAUGAAUAUCUAAAUAAUUUGAAAUACUAAAAUGCUAGCGACAAAAACACCGUGUCUCUUAAUAUAAUUAAGGCUGAAAAAAUAUAAGAAAUCUUAUAUUAUAAAAAGAUGUGUGUAUGCGAGAGAGACUAAAGUAGGUGAUUGUUGUAAAAAUUAGCCAAUAACUGAAAGUUUUAGUUGAAAAUUAUUAACUUAAUUUAUUAAAUUAUAAGUGUUUACUAAAAGUAUAUAUUGAAGUCAUCUAUAAAUAUAUAAUAACAUAAAUAAAAUGUUUAUAUGAUAUUUUUAUAAAAAUCUUAGUUUUAUUUUACACCUGAAAAUAUAUUUUUUUUGGGUAGUUAAAAUUUUAGUUUUUAAUUAAUGUUAAAAAUUUGUAAUUUUUUUAAAUAUUAUAUAAUUACUUUUUUCAGUUUCAAUUAUUUAAUUAGGUUUUCAGUCCUCAAAUUAGGAUCUAUUUUUUAGUCCUCCAAAAUCUAAAUAAAAAUUUGUAAAUUUUAAUCUCUAAAUUAAAAAAGUAUUCUUUUUUAAUCUCUCCAUUAGCAUUUUAAUGGAUUUUUUAAAAUUAUCAGUAAUAAAAAAUAGAUUUAUAUCAUAAUUUAAAUUGUUCGUUGUAAAUUUUUAUAUUUACAAAUAUUUAAUUAUAUGUUUUUAUAAAUUAAGCGUAAUAUAAUUUAUACAAAAAUAAACAUUUUUCCUAAUUCCUAAAGCACUGAGUGAAAUACUAUUAGGAUUAAAAUAGAAAAGAAAAAGGCCCACAAGGCACGGCAUUGACUCUUAAAUGUGGAUAGAGAAUGGUGGUGGAUCAAAGUCUAUGCGGCACCGAAUCUCGUGACGGUUGUCCAUAAUUAUGGAGAAAAUAAAUCGAUUGUAUAUAGUUCACGAAUUUGACUAUUGACGAUAAACUUUGGUCUUCUGUAUAUUCAAAAGACAAAAAAUUUAUAUUCAAAAGACAAUAUUUUCAAUACUUGAUAAAUGACGCCGGCCGAACAGAACAAAAUAUUAGAAAACAAAGUUGAAAACAGAGAGAGCUUUCGUAUGACAAAAAACUAAACCAAUGGAUAAGCUAAGAUAUCAUCAGCAAAAAUAUUUCAAAUGCAACUGUUCGUGAAGGCCAUUAAUGGAAGUGGGUCUCAAUUCUCGAAUGUUCAAAGGAUCAAGUGCGUCUCACGUUCGUUCAUCUAAAAUUACUUUAAGAAAUUAACUAAUAUAAUAUUAUUUUAGGGAAAUAUCCACAUAUUUAGUUUUCACGAUAAUAAAUUGAUUUAAUGUUUAAAAUUAAAUUUUAAAUUCAAGUUACUUUUAAAUAUCUUUUUUAUUAAAUAAUUUUUUUUUAUCCCUUGGCCCUCUCAAUCAACUCAAUCUAUGUUAAGUAGUAAUCGAUCAUUGUCAUCACAUGCUUAGCUUAAAUCCUUAUCACAUAAGUUUUUGUACUAGGUCUUAUUUCUCGAGAUUACCACUGGAAAAAAAAUUAUACUGAAUUUUACUUAUUAUCUUAUUUUAAGAAUGAAAAUAUUCAAACAUUAAUUUUUUUUUCAUAACGUUGUGAACGCACGUCCGAAACUCUUUUUAAAGAUGUUUCUAUAUUUAAUGUUUGGUCGUUUCUUGAAUAAGGUUGUCUUUCAAUAAUUAAUCAAAACUGAUUUUAUUUAAAAUCAUUUUUACGGCAACAGUUCUCUUAAUCGAUAUUCACUUCUAGUUGUUCUCACUUCUCAAUUACUUAGCAGUUAACGGUUUACAAUUUUUCUUACCAACCAGGUCGUACAAAAGCCAAACCUAGUGUGUCGAGAUUCUAAAUUUAAGUAAGAAUAUUUGAAAGUGUAGCAAUUGGUGAAAAAUAUUUUUGUAAUAUCUAUGUACUGUAUUCGGAAAGUCGUUUGUUUCAUGAGAUUUUAUUUUCUAUUUUAAAAAAGAAAUAAUUUCUUUAGAUUGGUCAUAAACUCGUAACUAAAGCUGAUAUCGAAAGUCACUUAAUUUUUGCAUUAGUUUUGGAAUCCACAUAUAAAAUACUUACUUUAUAUAUCAAUUGAUUGAUUAUACGUCUCACUUAAAACCAUUCUAAAAAGUUGAAAACAAUUAAUAUUAAAACAAGUUUUUUUUUUAUAAAAGUACUAACACAUGCCUAAUUUGUUGUAAAAACUAUCCUAAGAGAUGUAAAUUAGCACUCUAAAUUAGAAGAACAUUGAGUGCUGUAAAAAAAAAAAAAAAACUAGCACAUCGAGUCUAUUUAGAAGGAUUUGAUUUCGUAAAAUGAGAGUCUUCACCAUAAACAAAUUCAAUCUUCACACAAAUAAAUGAUCAAUUGAAUUGAUAUUGAAUGCUAAAAUAGUCGUGUUUUUUCAUUAUAAAGAAAAUUAUUAAGUAUUUAUUUUAUUUAUAAAAAUUGAAUAUGAUAUCCAGAAACUUAUAGUAUUUACAUACUUUAUUCAAUUAAUUGAGCUAGACUCACUUUAUAAUUAUUAAGUAAUUAUGUGGAUUUGGUUCAAUUUAUUUUGAACAAUUGCUGCAAGUAAUUUAGUUAACUUAGCUUUCAUUUGCCACGAAAUGUAUUGGAUGGAGGAUUUCUUCAGCAGUUGACUUUUCUUAUUGAUGUUGAUGUAAUGGGCUUUAGCCCAAUCUCAAUAAUAAUAUACCAUCUAACUCAUUCUUAAAAUAAGAAAGACGUUCAAACGUACUAAUGCAUUUGCCUCAAAAACUGGGUUAAAUUCUAUAUAAAGUCACCAUAGUAAACAUAAAACAAGCAGAAGUAUAAAUGAUGCUUUCUUUUAUUAUUAUAACAUAUUGAUUUAUUGAUGAAGUGACAUACAAAGACAUCAACUGGCUCUCACAAUUCUGUGGAAAAAGGAAAUAAGAAAGGAAACACUCGUUACAUCAAUUGGAAGCCACACCACACACUCAAAGUGAUUGAAUAACACUCCACACAAGGCAAGAAAACUCUUGUAUAUAAUAUAAAACAAGGUCUUUGCAGAUCACUGAAUACUGAAGAUCGAAUUGGAUCAGUUGUAAUGAGGAUUGGCCAAAAGGUAGGCCUCAACGGCCUUGAAAAGAGCAUCAGACUUGACUUUGCCAAUUUUGAGGUCGUCUGGGUUGGGCUGAGCAUCUCCUUUGGUUUGGUAUUUGACAGUUAGCUUCCCAGCAGACCCUCCGUUGGCGCCAGCAGCCAAUUUGCAUUCGAAUGUGAUCUUCUCCACUGUGUCUGGCAACCCAACUCCACCAACUACGCUAUAGCUGUAUCCCAAGUUUGCCUCAUCAACUGAUUCUAUUUUGUGCAACACAAACUUGCUUUCUCCAUCUGUCCAUCCAUCCAAUGAUCAGCCUCAUUAUCAUAAUUUAUUUCAUUAACUAACUUAGUUAUACUAUAUGGUAGAAUAUAAAAUGAACAUAGAUAGAUAGAUAGAUAGAUAGUGAGUGAGUGAGUACCCUCAACGAAAGUGAUCUUCUUGAUGGUUCCAGGGCCACCGUUCCCCUCAAGGUUUUCAACACUCCUGAAGGCUUCGACAGCCUUUGGGAUGACGUUGUCGGCAUCUGUAACUAGAGCUUUGUAAAGGGUAGCAGGAGCCACAGGGGAGGUGGUUUCAUCCUCAAAUGUGAAAAUACCCAUUAUGAAUAAUAAAAUGGAUUCGAAGAAUAAUAUUACUAGUUUGUGAAGAUGUUUG